rnacentral:lncRNA from 1 species
CGAGUCUCAUCCAUCCUCGGCAGGAAGGAGCUGGGCCAAGGGAGCAAGCAGCACUUCUGGUUACUUGGGGCCAGAUCGAGUAAGAUGGCGCACCAUGGCGUGUGGCGGCCUAUUUUGCUUCCAAGAGCAGUACUGUUUAUUUGAAAUGAGAUGUACUCGUAUACUGCCUAGUAAAAUUGAAUGAUUGCCAUGUACUAUCUAUGAUGUAGUGAGCUGUAGGAGUGAAAUGAAAUUUUAUUUGUUGUUGUAUGUGUUAUUUUCCUGUAAUGUGCUGUGUACAUUUUACUUGAAUAUUAAAUUCUCCAGGAAAUGUUCUUACUGGACCUGAUAGUGGCCACGACCCAAUUAUACUUGUACUAUUAACAUGACAUGGCCCAAAAUAACCAGGGCUCAAAAGCUAUUCAGAAGUACUAUAAGCAGGCCUCGACUCAAAUGGAAAAUAGAAACAAAAAGGAAACGAACUAUGUGGAAAGGUAAAGGCCCGUGAUAGAAAAGGCCCAAAAACAUCAAGGGAAAAAAUAUCAUAAAUGGGCUGAAUUAAUGGGCUCAGCCCAUAUAGACACCUAAUCGGACCGGGCUGAAUCUUAUCAACAACCUUUUCAAUUGGUCGCAAUUUUGCCAUGUCGGGUUGCCACAUCGGAUCCGACGCGGCCUGGGUAGACAGCCAGUGACCAAAACAAAAGGUCAUGGGUUCCACAGCCUUUUGUGAGAAUGUCGUUAAUUUCAGUUUACGACCGCCAGCUUUUGACCUUCUGUUUUUGGUCACAAAAAGGUCGCAAUUGAAAAACAAUGACCUUUAAGUGACCAAUACUGAUGGUCGCAACUUGACAUAUUUCGCCCGGGGGAACGGUCCCAAGAUUUCCAGCCCCCAGACUACGAACGACCACAAGAGUGGGAUGGUCUAGAGGCCCUGAGCUGGCUGGUGGAUCUGCUUCGCAUGGAAUUGGGACGCUUCACAAGAUCUCACCAUCUCGGUGGCAUCAUUGAGCAUCGUGGGCCAGUAGAACCUACUGCGGAAUGACUUGCCCACGAGGGUGCGCAAUGACGAGUGAUGCCCACAGUCCCCGCCGUGUUUGUCGGUCAACAGCUUAUGUCCCUGCUCCCUGGAGAUGCAUCGUAAAGAAACAUCAUUUGGCCGUUUCCUACAAAGCUCACCGUCCCGGAUGCAGUAGGCAGUGGCCUGUCGAGCCACAUGCCCCGCGUCCUCCUCCUUCUCCGAUAGGGUCCCAUGAAGCAGGUACGCCUUGAACUCUUCGGUCCAGCACCCCUCCUGAGGCUCGAGCGUAAGGAGUAGGCGCGCUCCCGAGGUCGGGCCACAAGUGGGGGCUCCCGAGAGGGGUGCUGGUGGGAGCUCCUCCUGAGGCGGUUUUGGUUCCGCAGUAGGAGGGGCUGCUAAUGGUUUGAAGAGCCUCUCCUCGAGGAUGCCAGGCUCCUAGGGCAAGUGCCGGGACACCCUCUUGGCGAUGUCGUCAGCUUCCUUGUUCGUGCCGCGCGGCACAUGCUGUAGUUCGACGCCCAAGAAUUGAUUCUCAAUUUUUCGUGCCUCCGCAAGGUAUGCCUCCAUAUGAUCGUCCUUUUGCUCGUAUACUUGUUGGAGAAGUUGAUGAGGAGCUGGGAGUCGCCCUUGAUGGUGAGGCACUUCACUCCCAAGGCUGCCGCAGCUUGAGACCGGCGAUCAAGCCUUCGUACUCCACGAUGUUGUUGGAGACCUUCCCGCCCUGCUGAAAUAAGAGCUGCACUGGGUAGUAAAGCUUUUCCUGGGUGGGAGAGAUGAGCACGGCGCCAGCCCCCGCGCCCUGACGCGCGAAGGUGCCGUUGAAGUACAUGACCCAGCCGUUUAGUGCCUCACUUCCUGGUGAGAGGGAUGAGUCCUCCCCUGCUUCAGAGCUGGAGGCGUCGGUCCACUCAACCACGAAGUUGGCGAGUGUGACGCCCUUGACGACCCUGGUGGUGCUGAAUUCCAACUGGAAUGUUUGCAGUUCGAUGUUCCAUUCUGCCACCCUUCCUGCCGCAUUGGGGCUCCUAAGCACCCUCUCCAGCGGGUAACCUGAGACGACCUUGAUGGGGUGGCCAUGAAAGUAGUGGCACACCUUGCAUGAGGUGACGAGGAGCGCGAGCAAGAGCUUUUGCGGCAUGGGGUAGCGCACCCGUGCAUCACACAACACCAUGCUGACGAAGUACACCGGGUGCUCAACGAGGGCGAAAGUGUGGGUGGUGCCUUGCGCCUCACGAGGCCCGGCGGCCUCGGGAGGCUGGUCACCGGUCGAGGCAGCCAGGGCCUCAUGAGCUCCGUCCUGAGAGGCUUGGUCUUCUGCUGGGGUGGCCGAGGCCUCAGGAGCGCCAUCCUGGAACCGAUGCAUUCCAACCAGCUGCGGGGUGCUGCUUUGAGAGUCCUUGGCCGAGCGAUCCUCCCACUACAAAAAAAGACACAUCCAUGACAUUUUGGGCUGAACGAUUUUUGUUCUGUCAUGCUUAUGACAUUUCUAUGACGAUAAUUGUGACAAAACCCGGUAUCAUCAUAGAUGUGGUGGGCUCCUACUUCUAUGACAAAAAAUCAUGACAUAAAAUGGGCUUUUUGUCCUGGGCGGGCCGGAGACAUAGCUGCGUGACAUUCUUUGGGCCGUCCAUGACGGAAAAAAUCAUGGUAGAAGCGAGGGCGAGGAAAAUAUCGGGCAGUUCUCGGUUACGGUGGGUGGUCGGGGGCCAAGCGAUGCGUGUUUCUCUCAUAAACGUACGUGCGUGGGUGCGAGGCGUUGGGCUUUAACUGAACCAAAGCGAGGCGUUCGCCUACUGAACCCGAGCGAUUGCACUACAGGCUACGCAUUACUGAACCCGAGCGAUCAAUCGAUGGUUGUUAACUGAACCCGAUCGAGUGAUUCCUUCGCUACUGCAGCUAACUUAAGUCGAUCAAACCUGGUGCCUCUUGAUGAAAAGUGAGCGUUGUUGGCAGGGUGGAUGAACAGUUCCAAGUGGGGGCGGUGGAUGAACACGACCCCAUGGUACACUACUAGGAAAAGGGCUAUAGAUGAAAUUGACACUAAUGGCGCACCAGAGAAGUGGUGCGCCACUACUAUAUACUAAUGGCGCGCCAUGUGGUGAUGCGCCAUUAGUGUGGAAGACACUAAUGGCACACCAGGCACACGGUGCGCCACUAGUAACAAAAUGUUUUUUUUUCAUUUUUUCAAACAUACUAAUGGCGCAUCCGGGCAGAGUGCGACAUUAGUAGUUAGAACUACUAAUGGCGCACCAGCCAUAGAGUGCGCCACUACUGUAUUUUUUUUACUUUUUUGCAAAACUACUAAUAGCGCACCGUUGCAUAGUGCGCCAUUACUAGUUUAAACUAGUAAUGGCGCACUGUGCCAUGGUGCGCCAUUAGUAUAAUUUUUUUUUACUUUUUUGGAAAACUACUAAUGGCGCAUGUCUGUGUGGUGCGCCAUUAGUAUGCUGAGUCCACUGCCGCCGACGAGCACCCCCCGCACCCUCCCCCGCUCCACCGCCGCCGACGAGCACCCCCUGCACCCUCGCCCGUUCCACCGUCGCCGCCGACCCGAAAAUUAUUACUGUUUUUAUAAAAAAAUAUUACUAUUUCAUAUUCAUAUUAAUUUUUUAAAAAAUAAUAAUAAAAAAGUGUAGACUACAAUUGUUGUUAAACAACAAUUAUUAUUGUUUUUAUCAAAAAAAUUACUGUUUCAUAUUCAUAUUCAUAUUCAUUUUUUUAAAAAAUAAUAAAAAAAUUCUUACUUAUGGCGCACGGGUAGCUGGUGCGCCAUUGCUAUCUAAAAAAAGAAUACUUAUGGCGCACUGUCCCGCUGGUGCGCCAUUGCUAUGAAAAAAACAUUCUAAUGGCGCACCGCCUGGGGGUGCGCCAUUAGUAAUCUUCCCCCAUCCAUACACCACCGACCCACUGCGCCCCCGCCGCAGCCGCCCAGGCGCCCCCGCCGCCUCCCUCUCCCCUUCCUUCCCCUCAAGAGCCACCUCCCCCCGAGCCCNNNNNNNNNNNNNNNNNNNNNNNNNNNNNNNNNNNNNNNNNNNNNNNNNNNNNNNNNNNNNNNNNNNNNNNNNNNNNNNNNNNNNNNNNNNNNNNNNNNNNNNNNNNNNNNNNNNNNNNNNNNNNNNNNNNNNNNNNNNNNNNNNNNNNNNNNNNNNNNNNNNNNNNNNNNNNNNNNNNNNNNNNNNNNNNNNNNNNNNNNNNNNNNNNNNNNNNNNNNNNNNNNNNNCCCCUCUCCUCCUUCCUCCUUCCUCCCUCUCCUCCUUCCUCCUUCCUCCCUCUCCUCCUUCCUCCUUCCUCCCUCUCCACCCUUCCCCGACCCCUCCAGCGACCGGCCGCGCCCGCCCAAGUCUGUUUGCAGGAUCAGAACAAGUUUGUAACAAGAUGCUCUACAAUUUUUUUUUCAAUUGUGUUGUGCUGUUUACAAGGAUGUAGAAGUCACCCUAAAAAAGGGAUGCAAAAGUCUUUCAGUGCAGAUUAACUUUGUAGGUUGGAGUUUGAUUAGCCAUGGUUCAGCCAACUAUUUCUAGCUUGAUUGUUUGGCUGGUUUAGGUGGUGUAAUCUAGUGCUGUGCCGCUGAUGCAACUGGUGUCCAUGAGUACUUAUAAAUCUGAUUAGAAUUAGUUUAAGAAUUGAUCUGUGUGUAUCAAUGUGAUUGUAGUUUUUCUUUUCAUCAAGUUUAGUUGAUGUUUAUUUAAAUAUAGCUCAUAUGAUCAGCCACUCUAUGUAUGAUUGUGGCUUGAAGGUUCUGGAAGAACGGUAUUCCUUCAAAUUCUAUCUGGUGGCAUUGUCCUAGACUCCUUAGUUCUGUUGUUAAUUGUGCUUCUAUUAAAAGAAUUGGGAGUUACUCACUGUACUAGAACUCUGUAGGUUCAAUUUUGGUUAACUAAUACUGACGUUAUGAGAAUGUAAGCACCUAUUAUUGCUACUGAUAUCAUUGGCUCAUUGCUGCCUUUGUGCAAUGCAAAACUGUUAAGAGUGAUUUGGAGGAUUCAAGAUUCUGUGAAGCUCUUUUGACAUUUAAAGCUCAGAACUGAAGGUACUUAAUAAACUCAAAAGCAUUGAUGAUAACUCUUGUUGCCUAGUAACAGAGGUAGUUUACAUAUUGCAUUGCUGGUGUUUGUUUAUGUUCAGAGUUUAAGCAUGUGUAGUGUAGUGUAGUGUAGUGUAGUGUAGUGUAGUGUGUGUAGUGAGCUUGUUCUAGUGUAAAAUCAGACUAGUAUGGCCCUGGCCACAAUCUCUCAACUUAGCCUUCUCUGAUUUUCAAAACAAGUUAAAUGCAUUCAGAUCUCUUGAUGCUCAAAACCUGUCAAUUUCUAUCAGCUUUUGAUAUAUCAAGUUGAUAUUCAGUCAAGUUGAUGUCAAACUUGACACAUAAACAACAGCUUUAAUAAACAGAGAGACAAGCUGUAGGGUUUUUUAGCUGCUGCCACAACACAAAGUCUAUAGAUGCUGCAGUUGUCAGUAUUAAUUAUCAAAUAAUUCAGAGUAGAUGAUGCUCUAUUUUUGUGGACUUAGUGAACAUGAUAAGACAAGCCAGAUGCUCUAUUUUCAAUUAACAGUAAUCCAUGAUCCUGCUUACUAGUGAACAUGAUGUUCGUUUGUUUACAGAGAUCCUGCUUAUAUAUACUGAUGAUGAGUCUUGUUGAAACCUUACAUAUACAGUGAGGAGCUACUGUCAAAAACUUGAGCUACUAUAAAAAAAUUCAGUUAGGUACAGUGAGGAUCUAACUGUGUAUGAAGGUAACAAGUGUUAAAUCAGUGAAAGUAAAAAAGUGUAGUAGUAGUACUUGGUACCAAUAAUUCUCUGGGCAAAGCAAAAGAGCAAGAGGAGGGAGACAUGGAAUAAGUCUUGACCUGAAAUGUAAACUGAACCCAAAACAAGACUUUAUGCAUUUAAACUAGUCCCAAUGGACCUACUGCCAGCUUAUUUGUUCUAGGACAGUAUAGUUUUACAAGCUUCGGCAACUUUUUCUUAACUGCUGCUGCUGCUGUUAUGCCUGUAUUCACUCCUACUACUACUGUACUUGUCAUGAUGUUGUACUUGUGAUGAUGCUACUUGUGAUCUUCUAAAUGACCCAUUGGCGACUUCAUUAUGGGGGGAUAAUGAUUUUGCAGGUACCCCAAGAGGCCCUUGAGUUUGCUGAAAUGUUGAUUAACUUCCGUUCCGGCAAAUUCGGGUACUCCAUAUGUCCUAUUUUCAGCAAAGGUCAUGCUGAAAUUUUCCGUGAAUUUUAGCAUGACUUUGCUAAAAAUAGGACAUAUGGGGUACUUGCGACUAAUGUUGAUUAUCUUCUGCUCAAAAUUUAUGCUGCUAUAAUGUUGUAAGGGUACUAAUUGGUCUCUUCUGCUGCUUAUCAGAGAUGGGGGGAAGCAGCCACCGCCGCUCUGCCUCACCGGAGUAUGAGUUGGAUGCUUUCGAGUUCUUCACUAUCAUACUUUCUUCUUCAGUAUCAGCCAUGAGGCAGGUAUAUAAAACGAGAGAUCUCCCCUUCACCCAUCUCAUUAUGAUAACUCUGUUGUUUGCUACAUCACUCCUUGUCCCAAAUUGCAGAGGCUGCCUGACGCUUUUAUGAAGAUGCUGGGUGAAGAUCCGCUAGAUAAUGUGAAGCUCCGACAGGCCGGCAGUGGGGUUCGCAGGCUGUGGGACAUGGAGUUAGUGAUCGAGGAGGGCCACAUAUAACUGUGUCGUGGCUGGGAGAAGUUCUAUAGUGCCUAUGACCUGCGGACCGGGUACUUUCUUCUCUUGAGGUACGACGAUGAUGCCACAAUGCUCAUCGUGAAGGUUUUCAGUAAGACUAUGUGUCGCAUGCGCUAUGCUGAAGACGAAGAUGCCAGUGCAUUCUGCCUCUUCUUAUUCCUCCAUAUUUGGCUUUGUAUCACAUCGAUUGUUAACGGUCAUUGUUGCAUUUGGACAGGCAAUGGGAGCAGCAGCAGCGACACUGGCUACAGCCAAAGCAGCAGCGAUUAUGGCUGUAGAAAAAGCAACAGCGGUUCUGGCCUGAGCGAAAACAACAGCGAUUCUAGCAGCAGCGAAUACAACAAGAAGGAUGAUCCAGACUGGAGUGGGGGAGAAGAGGAUCAGAGUGGGGAUGAGGAGCUGCAGGAUGACGAUGGGCAUUAGGCAGAGGAUGACCUAGCGUUGGUGGUGGCUGACCAAGGGCAAAGAUGGUGGUGGCUGACCAGGUGCAAGAGAUGGUGGUGGCUGACCAUGGGCAAGAGAUGGUGGUGGCUGACCAUGGGCAAGAGAUGGUGGUGGCUGAGGGUGGCCUCACGAUGGUAGUUGUGCCUGACAAUUACCACACACCAGUGGUGGUGCCGGCGAUCCCACAGCUGGGCGACAUGACCACGCCAAUUGUGGUAGAGGACUACAUCCCAUAGCUGCCUCCACCGCCUCGCCGCUCUUGGCACAUCAGGCUGAGGAAGGAGAAGGAUAAGAACAAUGAGAACUGAACUAUGUCAGGUAUGUCAGAUCUCCAAAAUGAUAUAUAUAUAUACAUAGUUACCUAUUAUCUCUAGUAUGCUUAGUUUCCUAUAGGUUAGCUCCAAAAUUACUUAUGUUAGCACAAAAUGAUCAAGUUUACAUAAUAAGCUUAUAGUCUUCUUCUUAUCCAAAAUGACAUAUGUUAGCUUCAUUUUACCUAAGUUGGCUCUAAUAUGCUAACUUAGAGCUUAUAUGCUUAGUUUCCUAUAGGUUAGCUCCAAAAUUACUUAUGUUAGCACAAAAUGAUCAAGUUUACAUAAUAAGCUUAUAGUCUUCUUCUUAUUCUUCUUCUUAUCCAAAAUGACAAAGGUUAUCUUGAUUUUACCUAAGUUGGCUCUAAUAUGCUAACUUAGAGCUUAUAUGCUUNNNNNNNNNNNNNNNNNNNNNNNNNNNNNNNNNNNNNNNNNNNNNNNNNNNNNNNNNNNNNNNNNNNNNNNNNNNNNNNNNNNNNNNNNNNNNNNNNNNNNNNNNNNNNNNNNNNNNNNNNNNNNNNNNNNNNNNNNNNNNNNNNNNNNNNNNNNNNNNNNNNNNNNNNNNNNNNNNNNNNNNNNNNNNNNNNNNNNNNNNNNNNNNNNNNNNNNNNNNNNNNNNNNNNNNNNNNNNNNNNNNNNNNNNNNNNNNNNNNNNNNNNNNNNNNNNNNNNNNNNNNNNNNNNNNNNNNNNNNNNNNNNNNNNNNNNNNNNNNNNNNNNNNNNNNNNNNNNNNNNNNNNNNNNNNNNNNNNNNNNNNNNNNNNNNNNNNNNNNNNNNNNNNNNNNNNNNNNNNNNNNNNNNNNNNNNNNNNNNNNNNNNNNNNNNNNNNNNNNNNNNNNNNNNNNNNNNNNNNNNUUAGCUUCAUUUUACUUAAGUUGGCUCUAAUAUGCUAACUUAGAGCUUAUAUGCUUAGUUUCCUAUAGGUUAGCUCCAAAAUUACUUAUGUUAGCACAAAAUGAUCAAGUUUACAUAAUAAGCUUAUAGUCUUCUUCUUCUUAUUCUUCUUCUUAUUCUUCUUCUUAUUCUUCUUCUAGUCUUCUUCUUCUUCUUCUUCUUCUUCUUCUCUUCUUCUUCUUCUUCUUCUUCUUCUUCUUCUAACUUCUUGUUUAUCAUUUUGCAGAUUUGAUUUAAUUCACGGAAGCUUGCAUGGAUGGAGUGCUUCUUUUCCAUUUGUGUUUUUAUUUUGUAUCAAUGUGAAACUUUUGUGAAUUGAUGGAUAACGGUGUUGAAUGAACAUUUUGAAACAUUUGUAAUAUGUAACGAUGGAACUAUGUGUUGGCUAUGUAUGUAUAUAUGAUGAAACUUGUGUGUUGGAUAUGAUCUGGUGGACACAGGUAACAUCGUUACAUGUGGCCCCCUGUAUGUAAGCUAAGCAUAUAUGUGUUGUAUGUUAUCUCUAAUAUUUUUUAACCUGUGAAAAUAUCAUAAAUGAAAAAAAUCCCUAAUAUUCAUACUAGUGGCGCACCACACAAGACACUAAUGGCGCACUGUUAUAAUCUCACUAAUGGCGCAUCACCCAACAGUGCGCCAUUAGUAUGCCAAAGCACAUGGUUAAAUAUGGCCCCCUAGGAGGCAUACUAAUGGCGCAUGGUGUUCUAUACUAAUGGCGCACUGCUUGGUGUGCCAUUAGUAUACCAGAUACUAAUGGUACGCCAUUAGUAAGAAAUACUAGUGGUGUGAUACUAAUGGCACACCAGCAGUGCGCCAUUAGUAGGCAAAACUAGUGCACCAUUAGUAGGCCUUUUCCUAGUAGUGGUAGUAGAGGUCGUUAUUGUUGGUUGAACAUGACCCUGAUCGAUCGAGCCAGUUGGGGGUGCAUGAAUAGGACCCCGUGGAGGGCUCGAUGAACAGAACGACCCCAUGGAGGGCUAGUUGAACAGUAGCCGGUGGAGGGUUGGAUGAACAGUUGCCCGUGGAGGGGUGGUUGAACAGGACCCUGUGGAGAGGGCUGGUUGAACAGUAGCCGGUGCAGGAGCAGUGGAGGCUGGAUGAACAGGAGCCCGUGGAUGAACAAUCGCUGGUGGAGGCUGGAGGAGGUCGAUGGUGGAUGAACAGUAGCCCGUGGAGGCUGGAGGAGGUCAACGUUGGAGAUGACAGUAUCCCGUGGAGUCCCGUUUUGCAGUACGCCACACCCCUCCCGAUGAACAUGACCCCCGUUUCAACUAUAGUGCUCCAACACAAGUUUGUUUCCUCUAUUUUGCGGUAUGCCACACCCCUCCCUAUGAACAAGACCCCCGUUUCGACCGUAGCGCUCCAACACAAGUCCGUUUCCUCUGUUUUGCAAUAUGCCGGACCCCUCCUGAUGAACAGGAUACCGUUUCGACCAUGGCCGGUCGAACACAAGGCCGUUUCCUCCGUUCUGCUGUACGCUAGACCUCGUUUCCAUUGGCUGUUCCAUCCAAGUCGGUUGGCUCCCGAUGAACAUGACUUAUUCUAUUGCCUCGCGAUUAACACGACACAUUCCGUUGCCUCCCCAUGAACACGAUGACGACGUAGUUUCUCUGUUCCGACCCAGUCAUGUACACAAGCCCUAGUCGUACGUAUGCGCGAGUAGACAUUCGAGACCACCCCGUAUGUACGUACGUGUCCGUAUUUACUUUCUUGCACCCUGGCUGUACGUACGUGUACAUGCUAUGUGCGCGCCUCUACAACGACACGUGCCCUCCCUUACACGGCCAGGGUUAAUCACUUCAGCCUGCAGAUAGACUGAUCAACCAGUAUGUACGUACAUGCUCGCGACCAGAAUGACAAUGCUACGUACGCUUCGACCAGGUGGGUCCCGACUAUCAUGCACUUCCUUGUGUGCGAAGAUGUAGCUGGUGGGUCCCAACAGUCAGGGGAAACGUUUUUUUUCGCGAAAUAUGGUGGCCCGUUCGAUGGGUCCCUGCUGUCAAGUGGAGGAAUCAUUAUUUUUCACGUAAUAAGGAGGCACUUCCUUGCUGCGACCGUGGAUCCAGCUGUCAGCCUCUCCACGAUAGUACUCUUCCGGUGGAAGAAGUUCGUUGACCACAUUGACCACGCCGUGCCGAGAGCACCAAGGUGGUGGACAACAGUGAGGCCUAGGAAGGGGACGAUGCAGAGCCGAGGAAGAUGCGAUAGUGGAUGCCCAUGCAAAGAGGAGUAUGAGGGUUCACUGGUUUGGCUGCGGUGUGAGGCUGUCGUCACCGCAGAAUAAUAGGGGGUGUGGGUGAAUAGAGGGAUGGCAUGGCCAGCGGUGGGAGUAGAAGGGGCAGUGAGGCCUCCGCGGCAGCACAGCCAGCCACGGGAGGCAGUAGCACACGACACGACCGGCGCUGGUUUGGGCGGCUGGACCAAGAAGACCAGAGGUUGAAGAAGCUCUACGGGCGUUGGAUGGACUUCGUACGGUCACUGGAGCUAGAAUCAUUCAUAUUGACUAAGUUGACAAAGCCAUCAGUCCCCCUCAACUUAGUAGGCCCACAUGUCAGCCUCCCACUAUGCUGGGUCCCAGCUAGCAGGGGGAGUAUUCAUUUUUUUGUGCAUAAUAAGGAGGCACUUCCUUGCGUGCGAAGAUAUAGCUGGUGGGUCCGACCAGUCAGCGGAACAUUUUUUCGCAAAAUACAAAGGCCCUUCUGGUGGGUCGCAGAUGUCAGGUGGAGGAAUCAUUAUUUUGCGCGUAAUAAGGAGGCAUUUCCUUGUGUGUGGCCGUGGACCCUGCUGUCAGCCUCUCCACGUAUAGUCCACGUCCAAUGGAUAUUGUUCGUUGACCGCAUUGACCAUGGUGCACCGAGAGCACUAGGGCGGUGGAUGACAGUGAGGCCUAGGAAUGGAACAACACAGAGCCGGGGAAGACUCGACUGUGGUUGCCCAUGCAGUGGGGAGUAUGAGGGUUUACUAGUUCGGCUCGCGUCGCCGGAAAAUAAGAGGAGGUGUGGGUGAGUAUAGGAAUGACCUGGCCAGCAAUAGAGUAGGGUGGGGCGGUGCGGCCUGUGCGGCAGCACAGCCAGCCACGGGAGGCGGGAGCAGGUAGUUCCAUUGGCGCUGGUCUGGGCGGCUGGAGCAAGAAGAUCAGAUAUUGAAGAAGCAGCACGGACAUUAGAUUAACAUCCAACGGUCACUGCUGCUAGAAACGUUUGUGGAAUAAGUUGACAAAGCCUUUCGUACACGUCAACCUAGUUUACCCACAAGUCAGCCUCCAACUAUGUCCCAAACAGGUUACAGCCCGAAAUUUCUAGCCAAAUUCAAAUUAAUUUAAAAACUAAACAUACCUUAAUUUAAAUCUAAUGAAAUUUUACCUGCACAAAAACAAUGACAAAAUCCAAAAGAAAAAGUAUUUUGGAACUAAUUGCCUAUUUGCUAUAUUUUUUCAUUUUAUAGCCCAUUUAAUAUUACUUAUAGCCAAUUUCUUAUUACUUAUAGCCCAUUUUCUAGGAAAAAUGCAUGCCUCCUCGUCUUGAAAGAUUUCCGGCCUAGCUGGGUGUAGAAAAGCAAGUAGGCCUAUGUUGGUUAUUCUACAAAAACCAAAAUAGCCUGGCUAGCCAUUUUCAGAAAGGAAAAAAGCAAACUGAGCUGGUCAUGUGGUAAACAUAUGAAAUAAAAGCCUAGGCUAGACGGGCCACAGUUCCCGGACAACCCGGUUGAUACCCUUCUCCGUCCCUAAAAACAAAAUUACUAGGCGUGCUGUGGGGUCCCUACUGUCAUCCUCACCAUGUACAGUCAUCUCCUUAUUCCUCUCGGUUGUUGACCAUGUUGACAACACCGAAGGGCGGCGGCGUAGUGAGCGAACCAAGGCAGAGGACGAUGGUGAGGCCUCGGACAGGAACGAACAGGAGCCGGGGAAGGUCCAUAGAGUUUUAGGGUGCGAUGUGGCCACGAUGCGUGUGCAGCAACACAGCCAGCCAUGGGAGGCAGGAGCAGGCAGUCCCGCCGGCGCUGGUUUGGCUUUGGCGGCUGGAGGAAGAAGAGACUGAAGAAACACGACAGGCGUUGAAUGCCAAUCCAACGGUCAAGGUUGGCAAAAUCGUUUCUUGACUAAGCUGACACCAAGUAGCAUACUUUUUUAUAUAUAGGAAGAAAAGAAAAACCGGGCUCGUUCGCCUGAUAACAUUCCCGAAACUACGACCGUUUGAUCUUGCGUCACAACUAAAACAGCGAGGAAAAUACGUUCGUCACCCGUCCUCCUCCCAGGGAACGUUCGCCACAUAAGUGACUAGCACCCUUGGUUUUCAAAUCAGAGGUCUUGGGUUCGAGUCCCAAGAAGUCUCAAUUUUUUUCUCCUUCCUAGCUUGCAAAAAAAGAAAGAAAAUCAAAGACUUGAGAAGGCGUACAGAACAAGCUAGUGUGCCAGUAAAGAGUUGUUGCUGAGUUUUAGAAAAAAGAGAGAUGUGCUCCUAUUGCUAGUUCGAAUCCAAACCUAGACUAUGACUAUAUAUGGUGCUAUGCUACUCUUCAAGUAAUGAAACUGACAUAUCCAAUGUUCGCUUCUCCUCUUCUCUACUUACUCUGCGUAGCAUCAGAAGGUCUGGCCGCAGCAACCUUGUCCGCUAGCUGCUCGUCCACCUACUCUUCAGCAGGCAACAACCAGAUAUGCGCCAAGUCACCACCUGUACCAUCUCCUCUGGGUAUCGUCACACCCCCGCCGGCACACGCACUGCAGCCGGUUGCUCAUCGCAACCCGCUGCCGUUGGUGUGGUGCCACUGCUGCAAAUCACGCAGAGUCAUCGCAUCUCAACCACAAUCCUCGACCCUGGCCGAGUCUUCUACAAAUUCCCGAAUCAUGGGGUAAUAAUAUGUUUAAGUGUUGUUCUGCUGCUUUUAGUUGCUGAUUUUUUUAACAGUUUGGUUGAUGAUCUUCCAAUUUGAUUCGUGCAGAAAAGGGAACAUUCAUGUCAUUUGUAUUUCUAGGAAGUUGCUGAUGUUGGGGAUUGCAACUAUGCUGAUUAUUUGGUUAGCCGAGGAAUCCCAAUACCAGCAGGUUGGGGUGUUGGACAAGUAACUGAAGGAACGACAGAAGAGGAAGAUGCAAAGCAGAAGGUUAAAUAUGCAGUUCCUCUAAUCAUGGCCAAGCAACAACUGCUGAACGGGCUUAACAACAAUGAGGAGAUGAAAGAGCUUGUGAAGAUAAUGGGCAAAAUCGAUGUGCUCUGUAGGAUGAUUGUCUCUUUAUUUGCAGUGUAUGUGGCACUCGUGAUGUAUUCAGUGGCUAUGACAUGAGCACUUUGCGGAAACUAGUAAUGAAUGAAACUUGUGUAGCAGGCCGGGCGUAGUGUUGUGAACAUCUAAUGAUUUCCAUUAACGGAAAUCGGGGGGUAUCCCCUUUUGCUCAUAAAUAAAUAGCAGGGGCCCUUUAGGUAAUAAAUAAAUAAAUUAGCAGAGGCCCUGUCGGUCAGCUUUGUUCCCAUUCGAAGACAUCGAGCAAAUAGCAGUCCAACAACAAACUAUGUCAUCAAAUUCAAGUUUCACAGCCAAAUAUGAGUACAACUAAACAACAAUGUCAUCAUGUUUUAGUCGUCAUACAAUCACCAAACACAAAUGACCAUACAUAACAAGUGAUGUUCUCACAGCAAAAUACUAAACAACAUGUUCAUCAUGUUUCAGUUGUCAUAGCAAACACAAUUUCACAUAGUAGAUAAAAAAUGUCUUCUGAUAGGCAAAUACAACAAAAGCAAUCUAAUCAUCAUCCGCAGCAGCAGCAGCGUCAACGUCUUCAUCAGGAUGAAUCGUAACUCCCCAGAGGGCCGUCUUCUUCUUCAUCCUCAAUGUCCUCGAACAUUGGCUUCUUCUUGAUCAACUCUUGUAUGUCCACAGCAUGACAAACAAUCUUUUCGCCAGCGUUAUUGAUGUGAUGUUUCUCAAAGAUAUUAGGAACGUCUGUGGAAUCUUGUACAUCAGGAUCAAUGUAAGCAUCAUCUUGUUGUGCAACUUCAUUAAACGAAUUCCUCUCCUCAAACCUUUGCAAUACUCUCAAGUCAUCGCUAUGUGCAAAUGUGUCUUCCAUGAAAAAUAACUGUGUUUCUUGAUUUGCCAAAAUAAAAGGCUCGUUGGUCUGGUAGGUCGCCUUGACAUUGAUGGAUUUGAAAUAAUCAUCAGCUCUGGGUUUUGCGAUCUGGAAAAUAGGUUAUACCAACGACAACACAAUAGAACCACACACCGAUGAUCCUCGAAACUAGAGAUAUACUGCAACUGAACAAUGUCUGUUAUGUUAGCAUACAUUUCAGUUGUCUCUCUGUUGUACGUAUCCGUGCUCAUGAUGGCAGGAUUUUUGUCUUCCUUCCUUCGUCGCGUGCAAGGGUGUUGUAGCGCACAUCUCCAAGAACGCAAGAUUCAUAAUGUCUUAACCAAUUAUCAGGACCCAUUGCUAGUGCGUAAAGGGCAUCAUCAACUGCCUGCCCAUCCUCCCACAUCUUCUUAACCUAUGGUUAGGAAAUAGACAAGUUGAUCAUCUUGUGCACUCAAUAUAUUAAAAAAACUGACAGUGCAAUUCAAAAGCUUACAUGGCUCUUGAACCAUUUUCCAAAUCUUGCCAUAACCAUUUGGCCAUUGUUUCUUGGAUUUUGCGGCAGUAACUCCUUUUUGUAGAUGCCGCACAACAUAGUGAUCGCGUCAAACAUCUAAAUAUAUAAGAAUGUGCUACAAGUUUAGUAGAUUAUGAUGUAUAAGCUGCAGUACUUAGCACUUACUUGAUAUAAGGUAGUAUCUCAGGACAGUUAUUCAACACAUACCAAACCAUUUUGUCCAAAUCUUUAGGUUUGUCCUCUUGUCGACUCUUCCCUAUAACUCGAACAGAAUAAUCGAAAACAUUGAGCCCGGGAUUGUCUUCACCCACCUCUUCAGCUGUUUCAAUGUAUUUUGAGCAGAAUGUCAACGCUUCUGUAGCAAUGUAGGCCUCUGCAAUGGAACCCUUGGGACUAGCUAUGUUCCUAACAUAGCCAUUGUCUUCACCUACCUUUCAAUAGGGUACAACCAGCCACACUGUACUGGACCUCUAAGUAGCGCCUCAUUAGGUAGAUGAACAACCUAAUGCACCAUCCAUAUGUUCCCAACAUAGUCAUUGUCUUCACCCGCCUUUCCAUAGGGUGCCCAGACUUGCCUGCCCGGGGCCCAGGGCGUGGCUCCACCAACGGCCUGGUAUGGCCCAACUUCAGCAGCAACAACUCAAGACCCUCGCGAGGGGCCGAGCCUCGUGAGGUGGACGACACCAAGACCUUCCUGGGGGAAUCCUCACUAGGCUGGCUCCUGAGGAGUGGAGAUAUCUAUGCAAGGGGCACCUCGCGAGGUUCACGUGACGUGAGCCAUGACGACCAAGGCCAGGCGAGCGCCAGCGGGCGUGGUGUACCAGUUUGCGCUUUGGUGGUAAGGAGGCCAGUGCAGGCGCGGUGUCCCGAGGCAUCAGGCAAAUGUUUUCAUAUCAGUGCAAAAAGAAGAAGACCGCCAGGAUGGCAGGACGGAGGUCAUCGCGGAGCCCACAAUAGCACCACUAGAGCCUUUAGCAAGCGAAGACCACCUUUUGUCAGGAUAGCUGGUACUAGCUUCCCCCUUCGAACUUGGCCGUUCUGGGAUCCCUACCCGCCUAUCAUUUGGGAAGAGGACCAAGGCUAUUAUAAAUAGGACUUAGCCACCGCCAUAGCGGGGAUGGGAUCCAUUCCACCCGAACGAGCUCACCAGUUCAUCUAGCUCAAGAACAUCUCACCCCCUGUCGGAUUACGGUUCCCGACAAACCCUUGAGGUUCAAACACUGGGGUGCGCAUGAAGAUCUCUCUCCCCCUAGCUCACACUCUCGCAAUGAUCUCAAAGCCCAGCUCACCGAACCCGAGGAACAAGUGACACAAGAGUUUAUACUGGUUUGGGCCACCGUUGCGCUGUAAUACCCUACUCUAGCAUGGUGUGGUGGAUUGCCUUGUAGGCUGGGGAUGAAGCAGUACAAGGGAAGAACAGCCUCUUGAGGAGAGGUGUUCUUGAGCUCAAUGAUCUUGUGUGGUUGGGGAUGAUCUAAAUGACCCUCUUCAGAUGAGCCGGUGUCCCCCUCCUACGGUGGUGGCUAGUCCAAUUUAUAGAGGCCCGGGUCCUCUCCCCAAAUAUUAGGCGGGAAGGGAUCCCACAAUGGCCAAUUUGAAGGGGGACACCUAGUACAAGCCACCCUGACAAAAGGUGGUCUUCGCCUACCAAAGGCUCUGGUGGUGACGCCAUCGUGUGCUCCGUGAUGACCUCCGUCUUGCCGUCCUGCUGGUCUUGGUCUCGUUGCACAAAUAUGGAAACCUUUGCCUGACACCUCGGGACUCCUCACCUGCGCCUGCCCCUUUAGCACCAGAGAGGAAACUGGCACUCUGCGCCUACUAGCGCCCACCUGGACUUGGUCGUCAUGGCUCACGUCACGGAAACCUCACGAGGUGCCCCUCGCCUUGAUCUCUCCACUCCUCGCGAGCUAGCCUAGUGAGGCUGCCCCGGAGGAGGUCUUGUGUCGUUCACUUCAUGAGGCUUGGCCCCUUGCGAGGGUCUUAAGUGUUGGUUGAUGAAGAUGGGCCGUACCAUGCCGCUGGUGGAGCCACGCCCUGGGCCGCAGGUAGGAAAGUCUGGGUACCCCCGUUCCCAGGACGCCGGCAAUAGCCCCCAGGCCCAAGGCGCGCUCGUGCUUGGAUUCACGACGAAGCCAAGGAUCAAGCAUGGAGCGUCGCGGUCCCCAACCAUCUGCAGCCUUGAUUGACGUGUGGCGACUGACGGGACAUGGGCGCCUCCACUUUCCCAUGUAGCCUUGAUUUCUGCCUAGCUAGGCAACCACCGUCGUCUUCGUAGCUCCGCCUCGUUUACAGGUGGCACUCCCCGCCACUCCCUCAUCUUCCGGAAUGUAGCAGAUGUCUUCCCCCUGUCCAAUCUGACACCAACUCCCCCCUGUCAGUGUGGAAACCGGUGGAUCUCGGGUAGGGGGUCCCGAACUGUGCGUCUAAGGUUGAUGGUAACAGGAGGCAGGGGACACGAUGUUUUACCCAGGUUCGGACCCUCUUGAUGGAGGUAAUACCCUACGUCCUUCUUGAUUGAUAUUGAUGAGUAUGAGGAUAACAAGAAUUGAUCUACCACGAGAUCGUAAUGGCUAAAACCCUAGAAGUCUAGCCUGUAUGAUUGUGAUUGCCUCUAUGGACUAAACCCUCUGGUUUAUAUAGACACCAGAGGUGACUAGGGUUGUACAAAGUCGGUUACGGAGAAAGGAAUCUCCAUAUCUGUCGUGGAAUUGUCACGGCAGAUGUCCUCGUGUGAGGACAGUUGUGAGGCCAACGCAUCUAUGUGGUAGCUUGAGAGGGGUUGAGCGGGAUGAGAGACGCAAGGUUUUACCCAGGUUUGGCCCCUCAUGGUGGAGGUAAAAGCCUACAUCCUACUUCAUUGAUAUUGAUGAUGAUGAUGAUGAUGAUUACAAGGGUGCUCUAUCUCGAGAGCUAUUCACUUGUCUGUCUAAACCUAACUUGUGAAACUUGUGGAACUUGUGAAUCUUGUCCCCCUUGGGGUGCCCUGCCCCUCCUUAUAUAUGUUGAAGGGGCGGCUUACAUGACUAGUCCUAUUAGGAUUAGGAUUACUCUAUUACAAGUGGAGUCCUAGUCUUGCUUCCUUUGUAAGGGAAUAUUCCUUAUGCUUUCCUCUUAAACCGGCGCACCAUAGCUUGAGCCGGACUUCCAUGAACCACCUUCUGGGCCACCGGGCCAUGUCGUCCGCUUGACCCGCCUGCCGAGCUACUAAUGAGCCGCCAAGAUCGGGCGGUGUCGGUGUAAAAACCGGCGGAUCUCGGGUAGGGGGUCCCAAACUGUGCGUCUAAGGCGGAUGGUAACAGGAGGCAGGGGACACGAUGUUUUACCCAGGUUCGGGCCCUCUUGAUGGUGGUAAAACCCUACGUCCUGCUUGAUUUAUUCUUGAUGAUAUGGGUAUUACAAGAGUUGAUCUACCACGAGAUCGGAGAGGCUAAACCCUAGAAGCUAGCCUAUGGUAUGAUUGUAUGUUGUCCUACAGACUAAAACCCUCCGGUUUAUAUAGACACCGGAGGGGGCUAGGGUUACACAAGGUCGGCUACAAAGGAGGAGAUAUACAUAUCCGUAUUGCCUAGCUUGCCUUCCACGCCACGUAUAGUCCCAUCCGGACACGAGAUGAAGUCUUCAAUCUUGUAUCUUCAUAGUCUAACAGUCCGGCCAAAGGAUAUAGUCCGGCUGUCCGGAGACCCCCUAAUCCAAGACUCCCUCAGGCGGGUUACCCGUGAAUCGCCAAGCUCCGGGCGGGUCACCAGUGAGUCGCCAAGAUCCAUCCAGGUCAUACAUCCAGCCGGGUUACACCGUGGUGUAUAUCCCUGACAUUAGCCCCCCGUUUAAUUUGGAUUUAUCCAUCUUGAACUGAUCUGCAACAUAAACACAAGAACAAAUUUGACAGGUUGUAUUCCGGGCUAAAUAUUCUUGUAAGCCAGCACAUGAUCAUCGUUAAGUCCUUGUCAUUUCCUUGUUGAUAUAUACAUGUCGAUGAUCUCAUAGAAAAUCUCCCUUAGCAGAUAUGUUUCAACUUUGUCAAUGUAAAAAAAUCCAGAUACUUCUUUUGAGAAAUCCUGGUCAAUAGGCCAGGUUUAGAGUCAAUUUGCUAACAUUGGUCUAUUAUAGAGAAAUGUUGUAAGAAAUAAUCCACUUGAAUCGACUUCAAAGCGCCAUCUUAAAAAAUAUUGGUCUUGAAAUAUUCAUCUGACUUUCAGCCAGCUUGAAGAUGUAAAACUUGCCAGUUUAUCAUUACCAAAAUUGCCGGGUUAUAAAACAGACGAUGCCGGGUCAUAAUUGUUGUUGACACCGGGUCAUGUAAUUGAUCUUCCUGAUUUGCUCAAAACUGAUAAUUUGAAGACGUUCCUCCAUUAUAUGCAUAAUACCCGUAGCCCCCAAGUCUUAAGAGGAGAACAUAGUAAUAGCUUAAGACUUGCUCCAAUAUAAGUGUUGCAACCUUGAAGAAAUCGGGUUGCUCAUCUCAAUCACUAAUCAAAAUUGAAUAUUCCACAUAAGUAGCCCCCAAGUGCUGGGUUGUCAUGCUUGCAGCAACCUGGGACUUGUAAUUUCAUGAUGCCCAUAAAAACUUCAACUAGUUUAGCCCCCAAGUGCCGGGUAAUGAUGCGAUAAUGAGAAGGGACUUUGUAGAUGUGAUCAUAUAAACUUGAGCAGUGACGUGUAGCCCCCAAGGGCUAGGUUGUCAUGCUUGCAGCAACCUGGGACUUUUAAUUUCCCGAUGCUCGAAAAACUUCAACCAGUGUAGCCCCCAAGGGUCGAGUCGUUAUGCAAUAAUGAGCAGGGACUUUAUAAAUAUGAUCAUGUAGAUUUGAACAGCAACGUGUAGCCCCUAAGGGCUGGCUUAGUAAGAUAAUAUUGAACUAGGACUUUAUAUAUACUUCAUUGAAAAUAACCUCAUAUGAUGUAACCAGCAUCAUGGGGCUUGAACCCACGUCCACAAGGUUAAGAGCUUUGUGCUUUACCAACUGAGUAGCAGACCUUUCAUUAUAAUGGAUUAAGAUUUGUGUACCUUGAAUUGCCAGCCCCCAAUGGCCGGCUCAUUAUGACGUGAUGAGUCGGGUCUUCAAUAAAGUGAGCAAAAAAUGACUUUACAUUAGCCCCCAAGUGCCAUGGUGCAUGCUGGCAGUGAAAUGGGACUUGCAUAUUUGAUGUAAUCUCAACUUGAAUAAUAUAGCCCCCAAGUGUCGGGUCGUCAGCCUGCAGCGACUCGGGACCAUUCUUUCCAUUGUAGAAUAAAUUAUAUCCAUUGAUAAAAUAAUAUACAUUGUGCUGAAGCGACUUUGAAAACCUCAAUCGUAAUAUUGGUUAUUGAUAACCAUAAUAAAAAUCCAGCCAUGUUGGCUAUUAAAGAUUUGAAUAACAUAACCCGGUUUGAAAAACCGGUUCCUGUGAUAUCGAAUCGUACUGCCGGUUUAGGAUACCUGAGCAGUAAGGGUGAUAACCCAAUCUUUAGAAGCCAAAAACUUCCAAAUGUUUAUGAUUGUCAUAUAUGGCGACUUAUCAUCCAAAGUCAAGCCGGGUUAAUUGAAACCACAUAUAUGCUUCAGAUAUGAACAAAAAUUCUCAAGUCAAACCCAAAAGACUGUUUUCAAAAAACUUAAGCAAAAUAGAAAGAAGAAUUUGAGGCUUCUGAUUUGAAUACGAUCAAUAAACCAGACCAAAGGGGUUAAUCUAGGAUUCGAAUACGAUCAUGUAGCCCCCAAUGGCUUUGGUGUUGCGCCGAUCAAUAGGGUACCGACAACUAUGUUCUCUAUGGUUCGAAUACGACCUAUGUUUGAACAAGAAGCCCCCAAAUGACCUUGAGAGGUUUUUAACGACCCUGAUUCGAAUACGAUCCAAGUCGGAACCAAAAGGGGCUAAGUUAUGAUUCGAAUACGAUCAAGAAGCCCCCUAGUGAGUUUGGCAUUGUGCCGAUCAAGAGGGUACCGACAUCUAUGUUCUCUUUGGUUCGAAUACGACCUAUGUUUGAACAGGAAGCCCCCAAAUGAUCAUUGAAAUGGGUUACAUGUGUUUGAGCUGUGCUUUGCAACAGACUCUCUUUGGUCCCUUUAAUAUUUCUGAGAAUUCGAACUUGUGAGUAAUGAAUUCUUCUUGAACCAGGCGUUGAGCAGAAUAUUAAAAGCUUCCAAGCUUUGUGGGCCGGAUUUUGAACCGGAUAUUGAGCUUCAAUGCUUUGUGAGAGAUAGAUUUCUCUUGAACCGGAUUUUAAACCAGAUUUUUUCUUUAUUUUGGGUCGGAAAUUUUCUUACGGCCUUUAAACUGGCAAUAUUUACUGAGCCAUGUCAUCAUAGCCCCCGAGUCUCAAGGCGACUUGAGGAGUUGGCUUGAGAUUCUUCAUAAUUAACCGUGAUAUAGACCGGUUUGAUUCCUGCUUGGCACAACUUGCAAAUCGGAGUAAUUGCUCGUUUAAAGAAAGCAAUAUAUAAUAUAAAAAUAUGUUGGAUGGAUUUCACCUGAUGCGUCAGGUCAGUAAUUAUCACCAUGGAGUUGAUGAUCAGGUGAAGCUGAAAUCAAUCACGAUCGAGUCGGCCGCGGGAGCAGACAGAUGAGCCGGCCACUGUGUUGUAAGACGGCGCAAGAGAGUCAGCACGGUAAAUCGCGCGGACGGGGAGAGUCGGCACCGAUGUUGUAAACCGGCUCGGACGGGCGAGUCGGCCGUAUGUUGAGAUAGACCGGACUACAGGGGACGGUGUCUUACACGUGUGUCCGUGAAGUUGCGCUACACAGACGGCCGCAAUAAAAAGGAUGCUGGCGCAUGCUCCAUAUCCGUGGUAUAUCGACAUUUGUAAUGAAUAAUUUACCUGUAUAUAACAACACCGUAGUGUAGAGUAGUUGUUUUUCACAAAAAUAAAAUAAAAAAUAAAUUGGAUGGAUAUCACCUGAUUUAUUCGUAUGACGGAUGAUUCGUCUAACGCGACAGAGGCGGCUCAGGUAGACCGACGACUCAAUAUAGCCCCGACGGCUCAUCACGGCAGAGGCGGCUCAAUCGUGGCUCCGGCGGCUCAGCAUAGCAGCGAAACGGAGGCAUCACCAUGGCAGCGGCUCAGAAACUCUAGUGGUAGCGUGUUUGCGAUGGCGGCAGCGGCGACUCUGGGAGUGGCAGCGGUAAAUCACAGAAGCCGCGGAGGAGACACAGACGGCGGCGGCGGCCUGCAGUUGGUGAUGUGAGGCUGGUGACUCGGAGCUGUACGCGACGGUUGUUUGCGACCACGGGUUUUACUCCUUUGGGUUGCAGCUGACUUGUAGAACCCACACCCGUGUAGUAUCAAAACAAUAGUGACAGCAGAUCACUUUUACGACAACAGGUCACCUUUAACCAUCGUUCCAUACCAGCAUCAAUGGAAUUUUCUUAAACACAAUGCUGUACGGCGGCAUCUCCAGAUCGUUUCUCACCACUAGCAUUAUUUCAAAAUCUUCUAUCAUCUCUGUGAGUUUCUCAAUCUUCAGGACCAGAGGUGGUCUGGACCUGUGCCUUCCUGGCUUCCCUAGCGGAGUCGGACAGGUGAGGCGAGCUGGUUCAGCGGCAGCGGCGACUCAACGGCAGCCGCUGCUUAGCGGUAGUAGCAACUUGGACCGAGGCCAAGGCGACUCAACGACGGUGGCUCAAAGCACGGCACGGGAGCCGGCCGGCACGGACGUAACGGCGACUUAUGGGAGGCGGCCUGAGGAGAAUCAGGCACAACGGCGACCGGCGAAGGCGGCUUGGCAACGGAAGUGCGCCGGCAGAUGCACGCAGCUCGACGCGAGGUCCGUGCAGGGGUGGCUCGACGGGGCUAACGUUUGACUGCUGCAGCUCACGGCAAACUACAACGGCUUCGAAACAGGGGGAAGGAAGUUGGAUUUGGAUGGUUCCGCUAUAGGCGGGACGUAGUUUGUGUUUUGGCGGCUCAGCAGGAAGCCAGUUUGAAGAUAGCAGGUGGAGGCGGCUUGCUCACACUUUUAGUAGCCGCAGGCGAAGCCGGCGGCUUGGAGGGACGACCAGGCGUGAUGGCAGUUCGGAGGAGGCAAGGCCGCAGCUUGAGGCGGACGGCGACAUAACAGUGUGUUGCGGAGCAGCAGCAGUGAGCUGAUGCUGGGGAACCCAAAGCGCGACGACGGCUCUCCGGUGGCAGCUCAGAGCCAGAUCUUUGAGACGCCUAGGAAACGCGCCGGCGAGUAUGCGGUGGUGAGACAGAGUUUUGAGUCAGGCGACCCGCCGGCCAGCGGCGAUUCGGAGCGAGCUGGUGUAGCGCGAGAGCGGCAGGAGCUACCGGCGCGACGAUAAGCGCCAAGCAGCCCGUUCCAGAGGCGCAGUGGGGGCAUGGGCGGUGGAGUAGUCCUCGUUUCCGAAGUAUGCUGAUGAUUUCCAUACUAAACCAGGCGUAUAUGUCGAUGGAUUUUUCCAGGCCACUGUGCUGUGUUGGUCGGCCUCAACAGAGAAUUGUGUAUGAUGUGUUCUGGAUACUGGAAAUCUGAUCUGUCUGAACAACUUUGAAAAAACUUCACUGUUAACCUUGGGAUCCGUGUGGCAAUUUAAUUCCUUGGUUGAUCUUUUGACUAUUAGCAUUGCUAUCUGUCAGUAUUGAUUGGAUCCUUCAUCACGUCAUCCCUUUCCUUUAUUCUUUCCCAAUCUCACGCGGGAGUGGAUGCAAGUCCCCUCUAGUAUAGUCUUCGGUGGACAUCGCAAAUGCGACUAGGCCUCGAAUCAGACUCCGGUACUCGUGCAUGUAUUCUUUGGUAAUACUAGUGUAAAAUGACACGGUGAUCGACAGAUCACUCUACCUAAAAAAAUUUCUUCAUGGUCUUGCCUUGCCUGACGUGGCGUACGGCGGCUGAUUUCGAUCAGUAUUCCAGCGUAGAAAAACACAACCUCUCUAGCAAGAUCUAUGAUUCAACAGAAGCGGCUGGGGACAGACAGCAAUCCUAAUUUCUGUUGAACCAGAAUUGAUAAAUUUUGCCGGCUCUAUCCAAGGUUGUCCACCAUCGAAUUAUUUUGUAUCAUCAUGCCGGUCUCCUCUUUAUCCAACUAAAUCGCGGGCUUCUCGAUCCCUGAAAAAUUCCCUCCAAGAACAUUACUAUCAUGCGCAGGCCCCACGAUGGACGCCUACUAUUGUGGAAUUGUCACGGCAGAUGUCCUAGUGUGAGGACUUAGUCGUGAGGCCAGCGCAUUUAUGUAGUAGCUUGAGAGGGGUUGAGCUGGACGAGAGACACGAGGUUUUACCCAGGUUCGGGCCCUCACGGUGGAGGUAAAAGGCUACAUCCUGCUUCAUUGAUAUUGAUGAUGAUGAUUAUUACAAGGGUGCUCUAUCUCGAGAGCUAUUGACUUGUCUGUCUAAACCUAACUUGUGAAACUUGUGAAUCUUGUCCCCCUUGGGGUGCCCUGCCCCUCCUUAUGUAUGUUGAAGGGGUGGCUUAUAUGACUAGUCCUAUUACGAAUGGGAUUACUCUAUUACAAGUGGAGUCCUAGUCUUGCUUCCUUUGUAAGGGAUUAUUCCUUAUGCUUUCCUCUUAAACUGGCCCACCAUAGCUUGAGUCAGACUUCCAUGAACCGCCUUCUGGGCCACCGGGCCAUGUCGUCUGCCUGACCCGCCCGCCGGGUUACUAAUGAGCCGCCAAGAUUGGGCGGGUUACCCGUGAAUCGCCACGCUCUGGGGGGGGGUCACCAGUGAGUUGCCAAGAUCCAUCCGGGUCAUACAUCCUGCCGGGUUACACCGCGGGGUAUAUCCCCGACAAUAUCCGAAUGCCAGGAUAGCCAUCCACACCAAGGAGAGUCUCAUCCGGACACGGGAGAGAGAGUGUUCUGUCUUGUAUCUUCAUAGCCCAUUAGUCCGGCCCAUGUCACACAGGCCAGACGGCCGAGGACCCCUUAAUCCAGGACUCCCUCAGUAGCCCCUAAACCAGGCUUCAAUGACGAUGUGUUCGGCGCGCAGAUUGUCUUCGGCAUUGCAAGGUGGGUUCCUCCUCCAAAUACUCCAAAACAACCUUCGAAUAUAGAAAACAUGUUUGGCUCUACAAAACGAGUACACACACACACGCAAAGAGUAUAAUAUUUUACGAGUCCAAUCCAUUGACAAUAUUUGUAGCGUGACAUCACGUCACAGACCGGUCAUUAUUUCGAACCGUUUUUUAGCCUCCCACUCCACGUUUCAAGAUGCGGUUUUAUUGGCAUGUCUUGUCGAAGCAGAGAUCGUGUCCCCUUAUUGUGGGAUUGUCAUCAAUACACGCAUGGUUAACCCAACCGUUCCGUUGGAAUGAUCCCUUGGGAAUAGGCAGGCUUUAAGGCCUAUGAGGAGGCAUUUGAUAUUCAUCGCCUUUGUAAAAGGGGCACAAACCCGUCUUUCUCCUCAGUGCCUUCCUCUUCUUCAACCUUUCCAUCCUCGAGUCCCAGCACCUAGGUUUCAACUUAAUUGCUCUGAGCCUCCCAGUCAUGUCCGGACCCAGCCUUCAAGGCCGGUGGGUGGGCUCCUCUGUCACAGAGGAGGAUAUUGCGAAGCUUCGGGCGACAAGAUACCUGACCACGGAAAUCCCCCACAGGCUCCCUGGUAAAGGACAGGUUAUUCCUACUCCCAGAUCCAGCGAGAGUGUCGUAUUCAUCUCCCACUUCCUCUGGGGGCUAGGGUUCGCUCUCCAUCCCUUCGUUCGCGGACUCAUGUUCUAUUACGGGCUAGAUUUUCACGAUCUAGCUCCGGACUCCUUUCUUCACAUCUCGGUGUUCAUUGUCAUGUGCGAGGCCUUUCUUUGCAUCCCCCAUACUUCAGCUUAUGGCUCAAGACUUUCAAUGUGAAGCCGAAGGUAGUCGAGGGGAAGCAAGUAGAGUGCGGUGGUGCUACGGUGAACAAGCUCACCAAUACUUUUUGGCCAAAAGGCUCUUUCACGGAAACUUCCAACCUAUGGCAGCGGGAGUGCUUUUACAUCACUGAACCCCAUGGUACCAAGUGGGCAGCUACACCUGCAUUCCGAUAUGGCCCUCCAUUACGGCUCGCAUCAUGCAUUAAUAAGGGGCUGGACUGGGGAUCAAUAGACGAAGUGCAGCCGCUACAAAGCCGCAUCCGGAGCCUCCUCGAAAUGGACACCGGCCUCAUCAAUGUAAUCCAGGUAAUGCUAGCCCGCCGAGUCCUGCCGUGCCAGCGACGACCUCUCCGCAUGUGGGAGUUCAAUCUGGAAGGACCACGGACCCUUCAGCACUUCUUCGGCAUGACACACACAUGAAUGUGGAAGUUAUUCUUUGGGACACGAAAAUAGUGGCCAGAUACCACCGAAGACAUCGGCCUUGACUACAACCAUCUGGAUACCUCGGUAAGCACUCGACACCCGAACACAGUUUAGUUAAAUAUCCCGUAAUACUGAGAAAACAAUCUUCGAACAGGGCUGGAUAAAGAAGGCGGAAUGAAUUAGGUGUUCGGCCCCUCUUCGCGAGGACUCAGCUAAUCCUGUAUUAACAAGGAUGUUGGCUCCGGCGCCAUAUCAAGUGCCGACGAAGGAGGACACGGAGGAGAGCAAGAUAGCCAAAUGUGUCCUCCAUUCUAAAGGUACACCAGACACUAUGUCCAGGGAGAUUGGAACUCCCUCUUCCGAAGACAAAAGAGAAGGAGCAGCUGACAUCCCUUCCCCCCAUCGGAAGAAGAGGACUGCCUCCAAAGAUUUGGAGGUAGAGGCUCCUAAGCGAGGGAAGAUGUCGUUGUCAAGCAGUUCGGGUUCGGAAGACGAUGUUGUCGUGCAAUUCCUCCGUAAGGACAAGCCCUUAGCCGAAUCGUAAGUGAACAAGGGUGUCCUAAACAUAUCCCGUUCCUUUCCUCUUACAAGGGUAACAUCCAAAAUAUGUGUUUGCAGUAUGGCACGCAGUCUUCCUCAACAGUCCUCCUCCUCGAGGGAUCUUCUGCCAGAGAUGAUGGAAAGCGAGACACCUCCACAGACCUUCUCGCCCAAUAGGGCGGACGACUUUGAGGUGUCGUCCCAGAAUAUUUCUCCCGACCAACAGGCGGUGCGAGGGACAAUGAAGACCACGCCCGAAGGUGAUACUUUGGUAGUCCAGGGUCCAGGGCGUGCGGACCCUUUGGGAACCAACAAUAAAGGCCCCGGACUAUCCGGUUUACAGUUGGAGACGACUCUAGGCUCGAGUAAACAUAUCCCUUCGAAGGGAGUCCAUACUCCCACCGCCGCUUCCAGGAAUCGGGAGGCACCGGAUACAUUGAUGUACAUGUUGCGACAUGCGUCCAUCUUAGAGGGACAUCGUACCUUAAUGGGUACGGUAGUUGAGAGGAUUCUAUCCGCGAGAAGCGGAUUGAAUGAAGCCUUCACGGGCCUGCUAAGAGGCUUCGAGGUAUGCAAUGUAAUAUCUUCAAUUGCACUCUGCAUGCAAAAAUGCACCUGUGUAUAGGUAGUAGCCCCUGAGACUCUGGUUGGCGUCUAAAAGGAGGUGAUCAGAGGAUCAAAAAAGAUAUGCCUCGGAAAUAAUCUAGUUAAUUGGAACACAGGUUGUUUCAUCCAUCGCGACGGUCCGUGCUACAGAGGUUGUAGAUCUGAAGCAGAAACUUGAUGUGGCGGGUGAAGACAUCACGCUUAUUAACAGGCGGCUCGACAAGGCGCAAGGUAUGUUUUAAGGCAGUUAGUAUAUGUAUGUAUAAUAAUAUGAGAACAAAGCUGAGAAUUAUAUACUAAGAUGUGCAUAACUGUCGAUACUGCUGCCGUGGUUGAGACCCUUUGGGCUGAGCUCGUCCGGGCCAAGGAGCAAGCCAGGAUGAGUAAUGCGGUUGCCAAGAAGGCAGCUGCUGAGUUAAAGGCCGAAUAGGCUACUCGGCGCCAGUGUGAGGAGAGAAUAUCUACCAUGGCGUGCGAGCUGAAGGAUGCCACUAUCUUAUGUGAAUUCCUCGAGAAGGAUAACAAAGCUAAAAUGGCCGAUCUCGACAAGGCCGUACAAGAGGCGAGAGAAGCACGGUCCGAGUCUAGAGCUUCUCGGGAGGAGAUCCGGCAAGCUGGGGAGAUAGCGGCCGGUAAGCCCUUCUUAUUACAGACUAAAUUCGGUGAUUCGAAGUAUGCCCCACUUAAUCAAAUGUGGAGUUCUCCAGACGCAUUCUUGGACUUGCCAAAGAGUGUCUCCGAUGCGGCGCAUUUUUUCCAAGCGCAAGAAGUACAUGCAACGGAGAAGUUUUUCUGGUCGCCAUUUAGCAUGCCAAAGAGUCCGCUGUUGCUGAAUGAACAGAUGGCCUAGUGGGCCGAGCUCCACGAAAUAUCCGGAUCUUCUAUGAAGGACGUCGUUGUCCGGCUGUGGCCGAUUGAGCACAUUCCAAAUAGUUAUUUCGGUUUGGUGCGACGACUUGUUGAUGUAGUGCCGCGUAUCGACGCCGUUAAGUGGUCAAUGUGCAUUGAAGGUGCAUGGAUGGCCCUUGCCCGCGUCAAGACGUACUGGGCGAAGACGAAGGCCACCGAUAUUGCAGCAAAGAGUCCACCCGGGGGCAAGGACCAUCACACACCGGAGCAUUAUUUCGAGGAUGUCCUAGAGGGCGCCUGCUUGAUAGAGGGUCGGUGCUCGAAGGAUAUGAUAUUCGAGUGAUUGUACAAAAAUUGUAAAAACAAUGAUAUAUUAUAGGCUAUGCUUUUUUCCUGAAAGUUUUGGUUCCUCUUGUGCGGCUAUUUUUGUACAAUCUGAAAGUUUACCAGUCGUCGGCUUCGGCCCCCUCGCAUAUAGUACGGGGGUGUUCUUAAAAGCACUUCAUCACUCUUGACCCAACGUCUUGGUCCAUGAAGGAGGUGUCAAUGCAGCGAACUAGGCAAUCAACUAUAGGGCUUUAAUACUUUCACUUAGCCAUAGGAAUUUGAUGGUGGGUCUACGAUAUAGCCCCUGGUAUGUAUGCGGUUAUGCGAAUACGAUGCGUUACAUAGGUGACCAGAAGAAUGGUCCUUCGUGUAAUACAGAAGGAAUCACGAAAGAUUCUGACACAUCAUCAAGUGGUUGACUAGCUCUCGCCGCAUCAUGACAGUCAGUUUUCGGCUUUCUCUACUGAGGUGCUUGACUAGACGAACCGGAAACACAAUCGCAGUAGUUCUCCAUUUACUACCUUAGCCGAUAGGGCGAAACGUAAGGUAGUAAGCACAGGAGUUGGGCAACCCAACUAUUGACCAAAGACAUGAUUCGGAGCUGAUCCAUAUAAGGCCAAACUCAUGACGCCGAAGUAUGCUAUAAAUCUGUUCAGACUUGUCGGCAACUCAUAUGUUGCCAUAUCGAGCCCUUGGCAAUUUGUGCUGAGGUGCGUGCGUGAAACAACCGAAGAAGAAAAAUUCAGUUCUUAGAAAAAGCAAAUAUUGAAUACAGAUUAUGUUCACUGGAAUCUGAUUGACGCGUCAAACGCAAUCUUUCAGAUUAUAACACCACUACCCGGACUAUUUAACAUGCCGGGGGUCGAAGGCUGAGGAAAAAGGCACUUUACAGGUUUGAAAUAAAGAGUGCGGUCUACAAAAAAUCAUUUGGACCUCUUGUCGCACGUCUGCAUUGCCUUGCCUCGGCGAAAGGACUCCUUGGCAGGAAUAGCCUUUGGUUAUCUAUACGAAGCCGAACUCAGAAAGAGUCUGUAAGAUGACCAGGCUUUGAGUCACCUAUGGUAAAAGAUACAAAUUAGUUAGAAAAACGGGAAAAAGGCUAUGGGAGUGCGGACCGCAUUGUAGGCAUGUCCGUAUUGUGCCUCCGCCGAUGACCAGGGUAUUUUAAGUGCAUAAUUAUGUAUGCGCGGUACAAACUUGGCGGCUAUAUGAGGCGAACGGCAGAGGCUGAACCGAUAAUCCAGCUCUGAGAUUGAUUGGUCCUGUUUAAUAGAGAUCGACGGCUUGAUGGCCGAUGAGAUACACGGCUUGAUGAGGCCGCUUUGUACUUUGGCUACAGUAGUCGUAGUAUGCUCCUCUGUACGGAGGGAGCGUUCCAUGUUUCCGUUUAUCGUGAUGACGCCGCAUGGACCGGGCAUCUUAAGCUUUAGAUAGGCGUAAUGUGCGACCGCAUUAAAACGAGCAAAAGCGGUACGCGCAAGUAGUGCAUGGUAGCUACUGCGGAACGGGACAAUAUCGAAGGUCAAGCCUUCGCUUUGAAAGUUGUUCGGCGAGCCGAAAACGACUUCCAAUGUAAUUGAACCUGUGUAGUCAGCUUCUAUGUCGGGUACUGCUCCCUUGAAGGUAGUUGUGGUGGGCUUGAUUCUUGAAGGAUCAAUGCCCAUUUUGCAGACAGUGUCUUGGUAGAGUAAAUUAAGGCUACUGCGUUGUCCAUAAGAACUUUCGUGAGAUGGAACCCGUCGAUAAUUGUGUCAAGGACCCGAGCUGCCGAACCUUCGUGACAGAUACUGGCUCGGUGGUCUUUGCGAUCAAAGGUGAUUGGGUAGGACGACCAUGGGAUCAAUUUGGGGCGACUGGCUCUAUCGUGUAGACGUCCCGUAGUGCGUGUUUGCGCUUCCCUAUAGGGAUGUGUGUCACGUAUACCAUGUUUACUAUUUUUACUUCGGGGGGAAAUUGCUUCUGACCCCCGGUGUUCGGUUGGCGAGUCUCUUCGUCAUUGCUAUCACUAGGCGGCCCGUUCCCCUUGUGUUCGGGAUUAAGCUUGCCGACUUGUUUGAAGACCCAACAGCUUCUGUUGGUAUGAUUGGCUGGUUUAUCGGGGGCGCCAUGAAUUUGGCAGGGUCAAUCCAGUAUCUUGUCUAAAUUGGAUGGUCCAUCUCUAUUUGCCUUGAAUGGUUUUUUCCGUUGACCGGGUUUGGAGCCCCUAAAUCCGGCGUUGACCGCCGUGUCUUGCAUUCCUUCAUUAUUAUUUCGACGCUUGUGUUUAUUGCGUCAUGGUUUUCCAUUGCCGUCUCGAACUCCGGAAGUGCCCCGAUCACUAGUGUUGUUACUUCUACGAGCGAGCCAGAUGUCUUCUCCCGCGCAAAAGCGGGUCAUAGAGCGGUAAGGGCUGCCAUGGAUUUUGGUUUUUCUUGACCGAGGUGGCGGGCGAGCCACUCGUCUCGGACGCUAUGUUUAAAGGCCACAAGGUCUUCGGCGUCUGGACAAUUGACAAUUUGGUUCGUUUUAAUUAGGAACCUAGUCCAUAGCUUCCUGGCCGAUUCCCCGGGCUGCUGGAUAAUGUGACUUAGGUCAUCGGUGUCCGGAGGCCGGACAUAUGUGCCUUGGAAGUUAUCGUGGAAGGCAUCUUCCAAGUCUUCCUAGCAGCCAAUGGAAUUUUCGAGCAGGCUGUUCAACCAGUGUUGUUGGGGAUAUGACUAUCAGGUAUGACCCGCCCAGGAGGGGCCGGGUCAUCCCUAUGGCGGUUCAUCUCAAUGAAGCCCAAGAGCAUAGUAACAAUGGCGAUUCAUAGAUAGGCUUAGUAGAGGGCCCAAAGCUGAAGGCGGCUUAAGGCCCACAGAUAUAAACCACCAUGUAUAUAGAUUUGUAUUGUAAGGCAUGUAAGAAAAGUCACCGAGCCGGAUACGUUGUAUAAGCCGGUCGGGACUCUGUAGGCCACAGGGCGUCAACCCGUGUAUAUAAGGGGACGACGUAGCGGCGGCUUAGGACAAGAAACAACAGAUCGAGAGCCGGGUCAAGCGUAUUCGCUCCCAGCUCAUCGAAACCCUAGCAAUACCAUCUCUAACUGGAUUAGGCGUUUACCUUCACCGUAAGGGGCCGAACCAAUAUGAACUCAUCGUGUCCUUUGUCCUGAUUAACCCCUUUAAGCUAACCUCAUCGCGAUGGCUCCACGACUAAAUCCUCACACUAGGACAUCUGUCGUGACAAUUCCACGACAGUAGGCGCCCAACGUGGGGCUAUCGCGCCAUGGUUUCAAGUUCUUAGAGGGCAACUUCGAAGGGAUCAAGGGAUACGCCGUGGGCCGGAAGACCAAGAGUCGUCGUGGCAGGAUCUACAUCGAUGAUGCAGGCUGAGGCCUCGAGGCCGGCUCAACUGAGUACGGGUACCGGGUCCCCUUCGGCGGAAUUCACGUCUUCAUCGGCAAGAUCGGCGAACCGGGCCCUGAGCCAGACAUCUACACCGACAUCAUCUACACGGCUCAGCAUGCGAGACCCACUCGUGUUCGGCCCGCCAUGAAUCGUGCCUUCGUGGGAUUUAUCCAUGGAACAGAACCUGAGGAUAGAUCGGCAUUUGGUGGUGAGACCGUCGUUUACUUUGAUGGUGAGUCAUCCACUGGUGAGACUGAGUCAUUGUAUCAACUACAAGACGACCGGCUUGGGGGCUGUUCUGAUGGCGACAGUACUCCGGACCCCUGCGAGCCACCGAACCAUCUUGCAACCUUCAUGGCCAGUACACAGCCCGUACAACACUCGUCGACUGCGGCAGAGCUGGUUUCCGGGUAAGCAGCAGCAUCGGUUGCCGGGGCAGGAGGCCCUGAGCGCCCGCCAACUCAAGUUUUAACUGACUUGUUGGAUAAACUAACAACACUAUUAACAGCGGUGGUUAACCCAGGGAUCAGGAUCAGCAUAAUGCGGCGAUCACAAAAUUGCGUGAUGAGAUAGCACAGGCCAAGGAGGAGCUGAGCACAGAGAACACUAGGAUGACCGAGGAGCGGGCUGCUUUGGAUGCUCAGGCGCAAUGGAUUCAGUCGCAGUCUUACGGCCAACUCAUGCUAGAUCAGAACGCUUCAAACGAAGUCAUGAGGAGGAGGCAUCCGACUCAUCUGCCCUCGGUUUAUGAAGCAAGAAAUCUCUUUAACACGCUAGGAGCAGGAACCAGUAACCUGGUGGUGGUAAACCGGGUCAAAGCACCUGGGACGGGUACGCCGGUUCAGCCAUGCAUGACGGACCUGCCUCGUCAGAACAAUAACCCGCCGCAGCACGUGCUGACGCCACUGGGUCAUUACUCUAACCCUUUGGAUAACAUGAUCACUGCGGCGUCACGAUUGGCGGCUACGUCGAAGGCGAGUCACCAACGGCGGUUGAAACAUGAAGGGCUAGAGAGCUCCUUCAGAGAGCUCUGACUCAGUAGCAGGCUUAUUCUUACAGCUGUGACAUGAUUCAUUCCACCCCCGCCCGAGCUGGAGUUAUAGUAGGCAUAUCGAUGAGCCGGCUGUGUCAAGCAGUGGGCGAAACCAUAACCCGCCUCAUGGAUAUAACCCGGCGGGCAGUGGCUUCAAUGCUCGGAACGUGGUGGAUCAAGGUAGAGCACGUCGAGAGGACGAGCUGGCGGCUCAGUAUGCGGCUCGUCAACCUACUCUGAUUCGUCCAACCACUUUUGUGGAGCCAGGGGUAACCUUUAGAAAUUUGGGCAUGCCAUGCUUAGUACCAGAUCUACAUAACGAGCGUUUGCCCAAGGAUUUCAAGGGUCCUCGCAAGGUGCCUAACUAUACGGCUGAUUUACCUCAUGAGGCAUGGAUUGAGAGUUAUGAGAUGGCCAUGGAGUUGCUAGAUGUCAGCGAUGUUGCGUGUGCAAAAUAUUUCCCCCUGAUGUUGGAGGGAACGACCCGCACUUGGUUGAAGGGGCUCCCUGCCAAUUCAAUUGGGUCAUGGGCCAAGUUAAAAGCCUAGUUUAUCUAGAAUUUCAAGGAUACAUGCAAGCAUCCCAUGUCAAUUGUGGAUUUAGCCUCUUGUAUCCAAGAAGAAGGUGAGUCGACAACCCAUUGGGUGCGCCGGGUCUCAACAAUCUUGCACUCGUCGGAUCGCAUCAAUGCCGACUCAGCAGUGUUGAUGUUGGAAAACAAUUGUCAUUUCACGCCCCUAAAGCAUAAAGUAGGGCGGAUCAAACACCACUGCAAUGACAUGGGGACAAUGAUGGGGCUCUGGUUAAGUAUACUGACUCUGAUGGUACCAAGGACCCCGAGUCUGAUGACGAAAAGCCGGGAAAGGGAAAGAAGAUCAGCAAGACCAAGGGGGAGUUGCAUAACUCGGCGAACCAGGGAGGCAACGGUAAGCGCAAAGCUGAUAAUAGUUUUGACUUUGUGGCUAACACCAAUGCACAGAAUAAUGGUCAGCGUCGUAAGGGUAAACCGCCACCAUGGAUCGGAGGAUCUGACCUCAAUCUUGAACAGAUGCUAAAUCAGCCCUGCCCAAGACACGGUACGCAAGAAAGACCGUCCGGGUACCUCUAGAAGGAUUGUUACAUUAUGAAGGAGUACAAGAAUUCCAAUCUUUUUCAAGACGGUCAUGGGCCAGGUGGUGGUUCAGGAUCCGGCUCUCAUGGACCGGGUUAUGGCGGCGGCGGCUCUUAACUCUGGAUUCCAAGGAAAUCAAAGUAAUCACGGCAACCAGGGUGGUUACAAUCAGCAGAGUAGUCAGGGGAGUCAACGGUAGCAACAGUCUGGUUACCCGAACAACCCGAAGCAGUUGAAUUGUGGACAAUAUCAUGUCUUCACCACUAGCUUAUGUAAGCGUGACCACAAACUUCAUAAGAGGGCAGUUAAUGCCAUUGAGCCGACGGUUCCCUGUUACUUGCGCUGGUCUGAGCAGCCCAUUGUGUGGAGUCGGGAAGAUCAUCCGCCCCGGGUUGAUAAUUCUGGUCACUUGGCUUUGGUGGUCACACCUCAGGUCGGAGGAUAUAAGUUUACCAAGGUACUCAUGGACGGAGGGAGCAGCAUCAAUAUCCUUUAUUAUGAAACUUUCCAUCGCAUGGGGUUGACUGAUAAAAAUCUUAAGCCGGCAAACACUAUUUUCCAUGGUGUGGUGCCUGGUAAGUCGGCGUACCCAGUUGAUAAGAUAGCUCUGGAAGUUGCUUUUGGAGAUGAUCGUGACUCUAGGUCAGAGGCAUUGACCUUUGAAGUGGUCAAGAUUCACAUCCAGUAUCACACUUUGUUUGGACGGCCAUCUUAUGCCAAGUUCAUGGCACGACCUUGUUAUGUUUAUCUACAGCUCAGGAUGCCGGGUUACAAGGGGACCAAUACAAUGCAUGGGAGCCGUAAGAUAGCUCUGGAAUGCGAAGAAGGUGAUGCGGCUUAUGCUGAGUUAGUUUGUGCAACGCAGGAGUUCAAAUUUUAUAAGGACAAUGUUGAUCCGGCAGAUAUGACAUCUUUCAAAAAGCCAACUACAGAGUUUGAUCCGGUCUUAAAGUUUAAAUCGGCGGAUAAUACCAAGAUGGUUGAUUUUGUUCCUGGCGAUUCAUCCAAGCAGUUCAAUAUCAGUUCUAAUCUAGAUCUGAAAUAGGAAAACAUGCUCAUUGAGUUCAUCCCUGAGAACCGGGACAUCUUUGUAUGGAAGCCUUCAGACAUGUCGGGUGUACCGAGAGAACUCGCUGAGCACACUCUUAAUAUUGAUCCAAAAUUUAAGCCGGUUAAGCAGUUUCUCCGCCGGUUUAACAAAGAGAGGUGGAAGGCCAUUGGAGAGGAAGUGGCCCGGCUCUUGGCAGCCGGGUUUAUCGUCGAAGUUUUUCAUCCUGGGUGGUUGGCUAACCCGGUGCUGGUACUUAAGAAGAACGACACUUGGCGUAUGUGUGUGGACUACACAUAUUUGAACAAGGCUUGUCCGACCGAUCCUUUUGCUUUCCCUCGUAUUGACCAGAUUAUCGAUGCUACAGCGGGUUGUGAGCGUUUGAGUUCUUUGGAUGCUUAUUCCGGUUAUCAUCAGAUCAAGAUGGCGGUUAAGGACCAGGAGAAGACGGCUUUCAUAACUCCCUUUGGAGCCUUCUGCUAUUUGUUUAUGCCCUUUGGGCUCAAGAGUGCCUAGGCGAUGCCGGGACCCCGAUCCCAUGUCACAUCGAUCUAGCUAGUAACACCUCAUAUCACUUUGCGGCCUCACGCACGGUAUUCCCACGGGUGUCGCCUUACCCUGGCCCGGGAUGGUUUGCGCCUUUUAGCUCACGUAUAUGAUUGUGUCGCUAGCAUCCAUAUGAUAGAGAACCUGGGCCGACAUGGCUAGUCGUGAACCCAAAGCGGCACUAACCUAUGGGGACAGGCAUACCUGAUUCACAUCGAGCAUGUCGGUCAGCAGCGUGUGAAUCCGGGCUGUAGCACUGGGCUAACAGGACUCCGGAUGUCACCGCGUGACAUUUCCCCGAAGGGACAGACACAGGAACGAAGUGAAACACAUGCCGGACAGUCAAGUGUCCUGAGCAGUAGUGCUGGGCUAGCAGGAAUCCAAUGAACCGGGCUGUAGCGGACUACUAUGGCUCAAGGAAGCACUAGACUACAUUUCCCCAUAUGAGAGGCUGCCAAGGGUAAACAACUAGAUUGUCGGAUCCCACACAUAGCAAUACACGUCACAUGUACGCAUAACAUGGAACUAUGUGCUAUACAACAUAGCAUCACAACAUAAUGCAACUCAUAUAGAUAAAGGCCCAGAAGAGCCACAUAGCAUUAAAUACAAACAGGGGUCACAUGACCCAUCAUUCAGAGCAUACAAGCAACAUAAGCAUUACAUGUCUGAGUACAGACAACUACAAAAGAAAAAGGCUAAGAAGCCUGACUAUCUACAAGUCCCUCCAAGGGUACAAGAUCGUAGCUGAGGUAACAAGCUACUCGUCAAAGUCCAAGCGGUACUACUAGUGAGACAUAUGCCUCACCUGCAAAAUAUAAAUAAAGCAAACGUGAGUACAAAGGUACUCAGCAAGACUUACAUUAGAUUCUAUCAUGCAUGCAUUUGUAUCAAGAAGGUAAUGUGGGGUUUAGUUGCAGCAAGCCAUCUUUGACUUAGUGGCUAUCCUGUUCUACGACAACGAGAAACUUCUUUGAGGUGAGGCAGCACACACGAGUCCACUAAACACCACAUCAAAUACACUACUAUGGAUUCAUCCUCGUCUCCUUACGAGAAGGCCAUCCAUAGCACUCACACUUGUCUUGAGCAUUUUAGGGUAUCAACUUUAAGUUGUCUAUGUACCAUGUAAGCAUCCAAGAAGUCCAUAACCGAGGACACGGCUAUUCGAAUAGAUCAUGAUAACCCUGCAGGGGUUUACUUCUUCACACAUGCUCUCACCACUUAUCACCAUGUACACGUCAUGUAUCUCGGCAACCUUCAAGCGGAAGCCUGGCGAGGGAGUCGGCCACGACCUGACUAACCAUACAAGACUCUAGUCCAGGUUUAUUGCCUAUUCGGGUUCCAUCCGGAAGGAGAUCCGGCCGGGGUGUCGCUCACGACCCCAAAUGAUAUGUGCAGGGUUCCCAAGCACACCUCGCCAGAUGGAUCUACGCUUGGUACACCGUGCCACUUCUGCCUAGUCUGUCCCAAGGCCACCUGGCCGGGUGCCACUUGGUAGACUACUAACACUACCUACAAACACCAGAAACUAUUUGCGACUCCUGGACAGAGAUCAAGCUGGCUAAUAAGUCGAGAGGGGCACUUAAGUAUUCCAAUGUGUGGUAGUAGCUAGUCAUUGGACAACAUACACGGAACUCAGUGCUUAAGGACGGUUCCAGUGAGAUAACCCACCAUGUACUCCUACAUGGCUUCUCACCGCUACCUUUACCAAAUAUGUUCACACGCUUAACUCUUAGCACCAGAACAUAUCGUAUCACUCCAAUUCAUUACCGAUGAAUCAGACCUGACACAACUCUAUGCAAUACCAGGCAUGGCAUGGCAAGAACACAACAUGGCUCAAACAACUCCUACACAUGCUAGUGGGUUAUAACUAUUUACUGUGGCAAUGACAGGUCAUGCAGAGGAAUGGGUUCAACUACCGCAGCAUAAAGUAGCAGUUGAAUCGUUGUUGUCCUAAUGCAAUAAAUGAGAGCAGGAGCGAGAGACUAGGAUUGUAUCGGAAUGAACAAGGGGGUUUCCUUGCCUAGUAGAUCAACAAGGAAGGCACUGCUCCUCAGACAGGUACUCUAGAAGGGUCUCCGGAGCAGGACCUAUCGAGAAGGAACGGUGUCGAUAAUCAAACACAAGCAUAUGCAACAAUAUGAUGCAUGAUCAUGGCAUGAGUAUGUGAUGUGCUUUGAGCUAAUGCAUUUAGCAUUCUAUUUGGAAGAGGUCCAUUUGAACCAAAGGUUCAAAUGCAACUCUAAAAUAAAUCUUUAUAAAUGCCAGUUAUAUGUUUUCACCUAUACAACAAGUAUAAGUUGGUUAUACAUGCAUGAAACAGGUACAGAUGGGUAGAUUGAAUUUUUCUGAUAAUUUUCAUAUAUAAAUUAUUUCAAUCUGAGCUACGGUUAAAUUUCUAUGAAUUUUUGAAGUUUAUAGCAUUUUCUGGAAUUCUCUGAAUUAUUUAAAAUCCAGAAAAAUCAUUAUUGCGUCAGCAUGACGUCACAGAGGCGUCAGCAGGGCUGACCAGGUCAAACCUGACGUGUGGGGGCCACACGUCAGUGACGCCGGGGCUCAACCCAAGUCAAACCCAGCUGACCAAGGUUUGACCGAGCCCUGGGGCCCAUAGUCAGUGGCUUAGGGGGUGGAUUAAGCGGCAGGGUUAGUAGCUAAUCACGCUCCACGUCAGCCGCCGGAGUUUCACCGGCGACGACCCCGAGCCACGGCGGAAGUUCGCCGGAACGAGCGGGAGGCCACCGACGGGUAGCCCGUGCACGGGCGCAUCCAGCCGCGCUCCGGGGAGGCCGCGGGAACGGCGGAGCUCGCCAGAGCAGAGCUCACGGUGGCGGGCGGAGUCGGGUGCGUGCGGUUUAGGUUCUGUAGGGCACUAGGAUGCUGUGGUUGGGUGCAAACGACGCGCGGGAGGGCACUGAGAACGGUGGUGAGCUCGGUUGCGAGCCUAGGUGACAGUGGCCACGACAGCGACAUGAACGAUGGAGCCGAGCUCUCGGCCGCGACGGCGACGGUGUUUGAGGAAGAAUUCAAGCUAGGGGAGAGGGGGGUUCGACGGCAGGGCUCACAGCGAGUCGAGCAGAGGCAACGGCGGCUCAGAGAAGGCACUGCAGGCGACGGACGGGCGGUGGAGAUCCACGGCGGCCGAGGUUGAAGAUGACGGCGGAGGUGGCUCCACAAGGCGUCCGGUGACGCGUUGCGUGACGGAGAGGUGGUGGACGAGGUGGUGGAGCUUUUGGGCACGACGAAGGGGCGAGGGGACUACGGUGGGCGCGUCGAACGGUGUUUGUGGCGAUGGUGGCGCUCGGGCAGCAGCGGGGAAGAGAGCAGAGGAGGAGAGGGGCGACCAGAGGUGAGGGGAGUGGACGAGGGGGUUCGGGGGGUGCGUCUCGCCCUCGCAUGCCUCCAGCGGCGAGCAGGGAAGCAGGAGGUGGCCGGUGUGUGCUCGCGUGCGGCGGCCACGCGCGCGUCCUCCUGGAGGGAGGAAGAUGACAGGGGAGGGGGGCAGGUGGGCUGGCCAACUGGGCCGGCCAGGCCGCACAGUGCUGGGCCAGCACAGGUGCUGGCCCCAGGUAAGAUUCUUUCUAUUUGUUUUGUUUUCUAUUUUCUGACAUUUGUUUCUGCUUAAAAUUAAUACUAAACUAAUUUAUUUUCUUAUGCCAAUUUUUGUAGGAGCUAAUGGUAUUAUUCCAGAGCUCCUCAACAACAAGCAUAAGUUUGGACAUAUAUUAUAUAUAUAACAUAUAUAUAUCCAAUGCAAAUAAUUAUUGCAUUAAUUCCAAAAGGCCAAAAUAAAUACUUAUGAGCUCCUGAAAAUAUUUGUUUGAAUUUUACCUCUAACCAAUAUUUUCUGAGAGCUACAUGAACAUUUUUUUGGACCUUUUUGGAGCAAUUUUUUAUCUGGGUUAUUUCCGGAAAUGAUUUUGAGGGUUUCACAAAUCCCCAUUUCAAAUUUAAAUGGAAUUUGAACAUGAUGCAUAAUUGACUAGCUGGUCUAGGUCAUACCGGAACUAGGGAUGUGACAAGUCGCCCCCACUCGGAAGAAUCUCGUCCCGAGAUUUAGGGGUCGGCGGAAAGAAAGCGGGGUACUCAAGUCGAAGACGAUCUUCACGCUCCCAAGUAGCUUCUCUCUCGGAAUGAUGAGACCACUGAACCUUGAGAAACUUGAUGUUAUGACGUCGAGCGACAUGCUCCGCUUGAUCCACAAUGCGGACGUGGUACUCUCGAUAUGUGAGGUUAUCUUGGAGAUCAAGCGUUUCGUGGUCCACUCCGCGGAUGGGAUCCGAGAAGCAACGCCUGAGUUGAGAGACGUGGAAGACAUCAUGAACUCGAGAAAGAUGUGGGGGUAGUUCCAACUGGUAGGCAACCUCUCCUUGUUUAGCGAGAAUGAGAAAAGGACCAAUGUAACAAGGAGCCAACUUGUCCUUGAUACCGAAAUGAUGGGUACCAUUCAAAGCGGUAACCCGAUGGUAAGCCUUGUCGCCAACUUCAUAAGCCACUUCCUUAUGACGACGGUAAUACUGGCUCUUUUGACGGGAUUGGGCUGUUUUCAAAUUCUCACGAAUGAUGCGAACUUGCUCUUCUGCCUCCUGGAUCAUAUCCGGUCCAAAGAAUUGUCUUUCACCGGUUUCUGACUAGUUCAAAGGUGUUCGACAUCUUCGUCCAUACAGAAUCUCAAAAGGAGCUUUCUUGACACUGGAUUGGUAGCUAUUGUUAUAAGAAAACUCGGCGAAAGGAAGGCACUUCUCCCAAUCCAUACCGAAUGAGAUAACGCAAGCUCUAAGCAUGUCUUCGAGGAUUUGGUUGACCCUUUCCACCUGACCACUUGAUUGAGGGUGGAAAGCGGUACUGAAGGAAAGAUGGGUGCCUAUGGCAGUUUGGAAACUCUCCCAGAAAUGAGAAGUGAAAAGACUACCACGGUCUCAAUUGAUCUCUAGCGGAACACCAUGAAGUGACACUAUUCGAGAAAUAUAUAAGUUAGCGAGCUGACUAGCAGUGAUACUCUCUUGAACUGGUAGGAAGUGAGCCACUUUGGAAAGACGAUCAAUAACUACGAAGAUAGCAUUAUUCCCUCUCUUGGUCCUGGGAAAGCCGGUGAUGAAGUCCAUACCAACUUUAUCCCAUUUCCAUUCAGGAAUAGCUAAAGACUGAAGGGUGCUAGCAGGUCUUUGAUGCUCUGCCUUAACGCGACGACAAACGUCACAGUUAGCAAUAAACUGAGCAAUUUCUCUCUUCAUCCUAGUCCACUAGAACCUCUGGCGCAGGUCCUGAUACAUCUUAGUACUACUGGGAUGAAUUGUGAAAGGAUAUUCAUGGGCCUCCUUAAGAAUCAGUUGUCGCAGAUGUUGAUUCUUGACAACCACCAAGCGAUUCUCAAAGAAAACAACACCUCGAUCAUCCAUAGAGAAACAUCCACCAACUCCCUUCCUAAUGUUUCUCUUGAUGCGGAUAACACCCCUAUCAAACUUCUGAUCAGUAAUGAUCUGAUCCUCAAGGGUAGGUUUCGCCACCAAGGUAGAAAGGAAUCUGUGAGGAGCAAUGUGAAGGUUAAGCUUACACAACUCCUCAUGGAGAAGUGGCUGGCCCUGUUGCAACAUGAGAUUGUUGCAAUAGGACUUACGACUUAGCGCAUCAGCCAUGACAUUCCCCUUGCCUGGGGUGUAGGUAAUUCCUAAGUCGUAAUCUGAGAUCAAGUCCAACCAACGUCUUUGCCUAAGGUUCAAAUCUGGUUGGGUGAAGAUAUACUUGAGACUCUGGUGGUCGGUGUAAAUCUCGCAACGUUUACCGAGAAGGUAAUGUCGCCAUGUCUUAAGUGCAUAGACUACGGCUGCAAGCUCCAGAUCAUGUGUAGGAUAAUUCUCCUCAUGUGGAUGCAACUGUCGAGAUGCAUAGGCAAUCACAUGACGAUCCUGCAUAAGAAUGCAACCUAGUCCCUGUCGUGAGGCAUCACAAUAGAUAACAAAGUCCUUAGUGAAAUCCGGUGGCACAAGUAUGGGAGCAGAAGUCAAGCGUCUUUUCAGUUCCUGAAAACUGUGCUCACACUGUGGGGACCACUCAAACUUUUUAUCUUUCUUGAGAAGUUCCGUGAGAGGUUUGGCCACUUUGGAGAAGUUCUCAACGAAGCAGCGACAAUAACUAGCUAGACCAAGGAAACUCCUAACUUGUUUAACUGUUUCAGGCAGAGUCCAAUCAAGAACGGCCUGAACUCUCUCGGGAUUGACGGCAAUGCCCUUACCAGAGAUUACGUGGCCGAGAUAGGUCACUUCUGGUAACCAAAAUUCGCACUUGGAGAACUUGGCAUAAAGGCGGUGCUCUUGGAGUUUUUCUAACACAAGCCUAAGAUGUUCGGCAUGCUCUUCCUUGUUCUUCGAGUAAAUAAGAAUAUCAUCGAGGUAGACCACGACGAACUUAUCUAAAUACUCCAUGAAGAUCGAGUUCAUCAAGCGAGAGAAUGUAGCUGGAGCAUUGGUUAGACCAAAGGACAUGACGGUGUACUCGUACUGACCAUAACGAGUGACAAAAGCCGUUUUAGGAAUGUCCCCGUUUCUGAUCUUGAUUUGGUGGUAGCCUAACCUCAAAACCAUCUUGGAGAAGACUGAGGAUCCAGCGAGCUGAUCAUACAGAUCGUUGAUCCUGGGGAGCGGAUACUUGUUCUUUAUCGUGACCAAAUUAAUGGGACGAUAAUCUACAACCAUCCGGUCCGUACCAUCCUUCUUCUUGACAAAGUGGACGGGGCAAGCCCAGGGAGAAGAACUAGGACGGAUGAAACCCUUUUGCAAGGACUCAUCAAGUUGUUUCUUAAGCUUGGCUAGCUCUAAGGGUGCCAUCUUGUAAGGUCUCCUUGAAAUUGGGGCGGUUCCGGGGAUAAGAUCUAUGACAAACUCUACAUCUCUGUCAGGUGGAAUACCUGGCAGUUCCUCUGGAAAGACAUCCGGAAAGUCUUGGACUACCGUGAUAUCUUCAAGGUCAGGAAGAGGGCUGGCAUUUAGAGAAUAGAGUUGACGCUUUGCAAUUUUGGUGGAGACAGUGACUAUCUUGCCAGAGGGGUGUGUGAGCUGAACAGACCUGGUGUAACAGUCAAUCUUGGCAUAAUGAGCUUUCAUCCAGUCCAUACCCAAGAUGAUGUUAAUAUCUAAAGACCUAAGGGAUAUCAAGGAAGCUAGGACUACAAGUCUGUCAACAUGUAUUUCAUUGCCAUAACUUAUCCUAGAAGUUUGCCACUAGGAUCCAGGAGUUUGAAUGAGUAGUGGGGAGGGCAUAUCACAAAAUGACAUGUCGUGCAAGCGGGCAUAACUUUCAGAACUGAAGGAGUGAGAUGCUCCAGUAUCGAAUAGAACCGAAGCUGGAUGACAGUUGACAAGGAGUGUGCCAAGAACGACAUCUGGAUCAUCAUGAGCGUCUUUAGCUGAGACGUGAUGCACACGUCAAAGUUCAGUGGGAUCUGACUUGGCACUGAUCAUCUUGUGUGAUGGCUUACUACCAUGGCCAAUAGACUUCUCGGGCUGGGGUGGAGCAACACGGCUCUGAGUGCAAUUACGGGAAAUGUGGCCUGGCUCUCCGCACUUGUAACAAAUCUUGGAGGUAGGACAAGGACCCGCAUUGACAAGUGGUCUACCAAUAGGCAUGGGUGUAGCAUAUGGUUGAACUGGGUGAGGUGCCACACAAGAAGGCCUUGGUGUAUAACCGGGUGGAAGAGCGGAGUUCGGAACCCAAAUCCGGCGCUUCUGAGAACUAGAACCGGAGGAAGAACCCAAAUCAUGGGUGUGCUUACGAGACUCCUCGUAAGUGAGUUGAGCUGUCUCUGCAUUAAUGUCCUUAUUCACAAGAGCCUGGAAUGUAUUGCAAUGGUGCAAGUGGAGAUGAUGAUGCAACUUGGGGUUGAGACCCUUCCGGAACCUAGCCUGCUUCUUGGCGUCUGUGGACACCUCUUCUGUAGCAUAGCGGGCAAGGUUUUCAAAUUCCCUACUGUAAGCAUCAACAGCCAUCUUACUCUGGGUGAAACUACAAAACUCUUCUCUCUUGCGGUCAAUGAGAGCCCGAGGAAUAUGAUGCUCGCGAAAGGCCUCAGUGAAAUCUCUCCAGGUGGUUAUCUGGCCAGCUGGAAGCAUAGCCUCAUAGUUCUGCCACCAAAGACUAGCAGGACCUUCCAAGUGAUAUGUAGCAUAGGUGACCUUGUCAUUUUCAGCUACGUUUGCAGAACGCAGCUUGUGAGUGAUACUACGAAGCCAGUCAUCUGCAUCGAGUGGUACGAUGGAAUGAUGGAAGGUAGGUGGUUUCAAACCAAUGAAAUCAUAAAUGGUCGCUGACUCCUUGCACUGGGGUGCAGUGUUCUCCUCGAUACGUGCUAACAAGCGGUUGGUCUCACGCUUGUUCAUCUCAACUUCUAACAUGAACUUUGCCAGCGAAGACUGAUCGGGAGGAUCCUCAUCCCUACCAUCUCCGUGAUUCCGGCUACGAGCAACAGAAUUUUGGUUAACCGACAACAUCCUGAAGAAUGAAACCAAGGAAACAAGGAUGGAUUUAGCAUCAUCAUAAGGAUGUAGAAUAUAGUACAAAGAAAAUACUAUCUCUUGAACUCCUAGGACAAUUCCGGCAGCAUAACGGCAGUAGAAUGCUCAAAAUGAAACAUUCUGCAAGGUUGGGGUAAUACCAAACUCAACAUCAUCACUCAGGGUUCUGAGAUAUUACUAAGCAGACUACACCGGAAGUACUCAAACUGGGAUAUGACUCAGAUCAACCAAACCUUAGAGACUACGGAGUUGUAACAUGUGAUCCUGAUAGACAGAAGAGAAAGCCUAGUUCCUUAACCCCGUAGGAAAGAUAGGAUGACUCAGAUCAGAGGGGCAUGAGGUAUAAGGAGUAAAAAGAGCCUUACGUUCCCUACCACAAUCAAUUCCCUUAUAUAACUAAAGAAUUUCUAGACUCAACUUCGACCAGGUUGGCUUGGAAAUCCUACAGGCAGUCAGGCUCUGAUACCAAAGCUAUCGGGACCCCGAUUCCAAUUCACAUCGAUCUAACCGGUAGCACCUCAUAUCACUUUGUGGCCUCACGCACGGUAUUCCCACAGGUGUCGCCUUACCCUGGCCCGGGACCGUUUGCGCCUUUUGGCUCACGUAUAUGAUUGUGUCGCUAGCAUCCAUAUGACAGAGAACCCGGGAUGACAUGGCUAGUCGUGAACCCAAAGCGGCACUAACCUAUGGGGACAGGCAUACCUGAUUCACAUCGAGCACGUCGGUCAGCAGCGUGUGAAUCCGGGCUGUAGCACUGGGCUAACAGGACUCCGGAUGUCACCGUGUGACAUUUCCCCGAAGGGAUAGACACAAGAACAAAGUGAAACACAUGCCGGCCAAUCAAGUGUCCUGAGCAGUAGUGCUGGGCUAGCAGGACUCCGGUGAAUCGGGCUGUAGCGGACUACUAUGGCUGAAGGAAGCACUAGACUACAUUUCCCCAUAUGAGAGGCUGCCAAGGAUAAACAACUAGAUUGUCAGAUCCCGCACACAGCAAUACACGUCACAUGUACGCAUAACAUGCAAGUAUGUGUUGUACAACAUAGCAUCACAACAUAACACAACUCAUCUAGAUAAAGGCCUAGAAGAGCCACAUAGCAUUAAAUACAAGCAGGGGCCACAUGACCCAUCAUUCAGAGCAUACAAGCAACGGAAGCAUUACAUGUUUGAGUACAGACAACUACAAAAGAAAAAGGCUAAGAAGCUUGACUAUCUACAAGUCCAUCCCAAGGGUACAAGAUCGUAGCUGAGGUAACAAGCUACUCGUCGAAGUCCAAGCGGUACUACUAGUGAGACAGAUGUCUCACCUGCAAAACAUAAAUAAAGCAAACGUGAGUACAAAGGUACUCAGCAAGACUUACAUCAGAUCCUAUCAUACAUGCAUUUGUAUCAAGAAGGUAAUGUGGGGUUUAGUUGCAGCAAGCCAACUUUGACUCAGUGGCUAUCCUGCUCUACGACAACGAGAAACUUCUUUGAGGUGAGGCAGCGCACACGAGUCCACUAAACACCACAUCAAAUACACUACUAUGGAUUCAUCCUCGUCUCCUUACGAGAAGGCCAUCCAUAGCACUCACACUUGUCUUGAGCAUUUUAGGGUAUCCACUUUAAGUUGUCUAUGUACCACGUAAGCAUCCAAGAAGUCCAUAAUGGAGGACACGGCUGUUCGAAUAGAUCAUGAUAACCCUGCAGGGGUGUACUUCUUCACACACACUCUCUCCACUUAUCACCAUGUACACCUCAUGUAUCUCGGCAACCUUCAAGCGGAAGCCUGGUGAGGGUGUCGGCCACGACCUGACUAACCACACAAGACUCUAGUCCAUGUUUAUCGCCUAUUCGGGUUCCAUCCGCAAGGAGAUCCGGCCGGGGAGUCGCUCACGGCCCCAAACCAUAUGUGCAGGGUUCCCAAGCCCACCUCGCCGGAUGGAUCUACGCUUGGUACACCAUGCCACUUGUUCCUAGUCUGUCCCAAGCCCACCUGGCCGGGUACCACUUGGUAGACUACUAACACUACCUACAAACACUAGAAACUAUUUGUGACUCCUGGACAGAGAUCAAGUUGGCUAAUAAGUCGAGAGGGGCACUUAAGCAUUCCAAUGUGUGGUAGUAGCUAGUCAUUGGACAACAUACACGAAACUCAGUGCUUAAGGACGGUUCCGUUGAGAUAACCCACCAUGUACUCCUACAUGGCCUCUCACCGCUACCUUUACCAAAUCGUGUUCACACGCUUAACUCUCAGCACCAGAACAUAUCGUAUCACUCCAAUUCAUUCCCGAUGAAUCAGACCUGACACAACUCUAUGCAAUAGCAGGCAUGGCAUGGCAAGAACACAACAUGGCUCAAACAACUCCUACACAUGCUAGUGGGUUAUAACUAUUUACUAUGGCAAUGACAGGUCAUGCAGAGGAAUGGGUUCAACUACCGCAGCAUAAAGUAGCAGUUGAAUCGUUGUUGUCCUAAUGCAAUAAAUGAGAGCUAGAGCGAGAGAGUAGGAUUGUAUCAGAAUGAACAAGGGGGUUUGCUUGCCUGGUAGAUCAACAAGGAAGGCACUGCUCCUCAGACAGGUACUCUGGAAGGGUCUCCGGAGCAGGACCUAUCGAGAAGGAACGGUGUCGAUAAUCAAACACAAGCAUAUGCAACAAUAUGAUGCAUGAUCAUGGCAUGAGUAUGUGAUGUGCUUUGAGCUAAUGCAUUUAGCAUUCUAUUUGGAAGAGGUCCAUUUGAACCAAAGGUUCAAAUGCAACUCUACAAUAAAUAUUUAUAAAUGCUAGUUAUAUGUUUUCACCUAUACAGCAAGUAUAAGUUGGUUAUACAUGCAUGAAACAGGUACAGAUGGAUAGAUUGAAUUUUUCUGAUAAUUUUCAUAUAUACAUUAUUUCAAUCUGAGCUACGGUUGAAUUUCUAUGAAUUUUUGAAGUUUAUAGCAUUUUCUGGAAUUCUCUGAAUUAUUUAAAAUCCAGAAAAAUCAUUAUUGCGUCAGCAUGACGUCAUAGAGGCGUCAGCAGGGCUGACCUGGUCAAACCUGACGUGUGGGGGCCACACGUCAGUGAGACCGGGGCUAAACCCGAGUCAAACCCAGCUGACCAGGGUUUGACCGAGCCCUGGGGCCCAUAGUCAGUGGCUUAGGGGGUGGAUUAAGUGGCAGGGUUAGCAGCUAAUCACGUGCCAUGUCAGCCGCCGGAGUUUCGCCGGCGACGACCUCGAGCCACGGCGGAAGUUCGCCGAAACGAGCGGGAGGCCACAGUUGGCACACGGAGGCCACCGACGGGUAGCCCGUGCACAGGUGCAUCCAGCCGCGGGAACGGCGGAGCUCGCCGGAGCAGAGCUCGCGGCGGCGGCCGGAGUCGGGUGCGUGCGGUUUAGGUGCUGCGGGGCACUAGGGGGCUGCGGUUGGGUGCAAACCAUGCGCGAGAGGGCACUGAGAACGGCGGUGAGCUCGGUUGCGAGCCUAGGUGAAAGUGGCCACGACGACGACAUGAACGGCGGAGCCGAGCUCUCGGCCGUGACGGCGACGGUGUUGGAGGAAGAAUUCAAGCUAGGGGAGAGGGGGGUUCGACGGCGGGGCUCACAGCGAGUCGAGCAGAGGCAACAGCGGCUCGGAGAAGGCACUCAGGCGAUGGACGGGUGGUGGAGAUCCACGGUGGCCGAGGUUGAAGAUGACGGCGGAGGCGGCUCCACAAGGCGUCCGGCGACGCGUGGCGUGAUGGAGAGGUAGCGGACGAGGUGGUGGAGCUUUUGGGCACGACGGAGGGGAGAGGGGACUAUGGUGGGUGCGUCGAAUGGUGUCGGUGGAGAUGGUGGUGCUCGGNNNNNNNNNNNNNNNNNNNNNNNNNNNNNNNNNNNNNNNNNNNNNNNNNNNNNNNNNNNNNNNNNNNNNNNNNNNNNNNNNNNNNNNNNNNNNNNNNNNNNNNNNNNNNNNNNNNNNNNNNNNNNNNNNNNNNNNNNNNNNNNNNNNNNNNNNNNNNNNNNNNNNNNNNNNNNNNNNNNNNNNNNNNNNNNNNNNNNNNNNNNNNNNNNNNNNNNNNNNNNNNNNNNNNNNNNNNNNNNNNNNNNNNNNNNNNNNNNNNNNNNNNNNNNNNNNNNNNNNNNNNNNNNNNNNNNNNNNNNNNNNNNNNNNNNNNNNNNNNNNNNNNNNNNNNNNNNNNNNNNNNNNNNNNNNNNNNNNNNNNNNNNNNGCGGCGAGCAGGGAAGCAGGAGGUGGCCGGCGUGUGCUCGCGGGCGGCGGCCACGCGCGCGUCCUCCUGGCGGGAGGAAGAUGACAGGGGAGGGGGGCAGGUGGGCUGGGCUGGCCAACUGGGCCGGCCAGGCUGCACAGUGCUGGGCCAGCACAGGAGCUGGCCGCAGGUAAGUUUCUUUCUAUUUGUUUUCUUUUCUAUUUUCUAACAUUAUUUUCUGCUUAAAAUUAAUACUAAACUAAUUUAUUUUCUUAUGCCAAUUUUUGUAGGAGCUAAUGGUAUUAUUCCAGAGCUCCUCAACAACAAGCAUAAGUUUUGGACAUAUAUUAUAUAUAUAACAUAUAUAUAUCCAAUGCAAAUAAUUAUUGAAUUAAUUCCAAAUGGCCAAAAUAAAUACUUAUGAGCUCCUGAAAAUAUUUGUUUGAAUUUUACCUCUAACCAAUAUUUUCUGAGAGCUACACGAACAUUUUCUUGGACCUUUUUGGAGCAAUUUUUUAUCUGGGUUAUUUCCAGAAAUGAUUCUGAGGGUUUCACAAAUCCCCAUUUCAAAUUUAAAUGGAAUUUGAACAUGAUGCACAAUUGACUAGCUGGUCUAGGUCAUACCCAAACUAGGGAUGUGACAGGUGACUUAUCAGAGAUGUGUGCAAAAUUACCUUCGUGAUCAAAUUGCGCGUAAUGUUCAUGCUUAUGUGGAUGAUAUAAAAUCCAGAGAGAAGGAGACAUUGAUAGAUGAUAUGAAGGAAACCUUUGAUAAUCUCUGGGUUUAUAAAAUUAUGCUUAACACGGCCAAGUGUGUCUUUGGUGUGCCGGCAGGCAAGCUCUUGGGUUUUUUGGUGUCUAACAGGGGCAUCGAAGCUAAUCAGGAGAAGAUCAAAGCCAUCACUUCUCUGGCUAAACCGGCGUGUAUCAAUGAUGUGCAACGCCUGGCGGGUCGUAUUGAAGCAUUAAGCCGGUUCAUAAGCCGGUUGGGAGGGAAGGCCAUCCCUCUAUAUCAAAUGAUGAAAAAGUAAGAUAAUUUCGUUUGGAGUGAUGCCACUAAUGAAGCGUUUGAGGACUUGAAGAAGCAGUUGGUUGAGCCGCCUAUUUUGGCUGCUCCUGUUGAUAAAGAGCCAUUAUUGCUGUAUGUAGCAGCCAAUGCCCAGGCUGUUAGCAUAGCUAUUGUGGUGGAAUGCAAGGAUGCAGGGAAGGAAUAUCCGGUUCAAAGGCCGGUUUCCUACACACCACAAAAAAAA